GGCAAAGUUCUAAUUUUAAUUCAUUAGUCAAUCCCAUCUCUCUUUUGAUAGUUUUGAAUGACCAAGUCUAUAUUGGCAAACUCUUGAUGGUUUUGAACGACAAGUCUAUAUAUAACCCCCUGGCCAAACAAGAAACCCCGCAAAGCGUACGAGAAAUUCAAGAAACUUAAAAUGGAUUCUAUAGUUGAUGGAGAAAGAGACCAAAGCUUUGCAUAUGCUAAUCAAUUGGCGAUGGGUACAAUGCUACCCAUGGCCAUUCAAGGAAUUAAAAAAAGUAACCAAUUGUAUAAUAACGUAAUUCAAAACUUUCAAAUUUAAUGAUAAUACGAUAUCCUUAUAAUGAGUUAUGCUACCCAUGACCAUUCAAGCGGUGUAUGAGCUAGGCAUUUUCGAGAUACUAGACAAAGUUGGUCCUGGUGCAAAGCUCUGUGCUUCAGAUAUUGCAGCCCAAUUGCUCACCAAGAACAAAGACGCACCCAUGAUGCUGGAUCGGAUUCUCAGGCUUCUGGCUAGCUACAGCGCCCAUGUAUUGUAAUAUUAACUCCUACAACCAUUAAAAAAUUCCAAGGUGAUUAUUUAUUUAGAUCCCACUAAUUGACAUUUUCAAAUGCAAUGUGGCUACCUUAAUAUUAUACAUAAAUUCAGAUUUUGUUCAAGUUUUGUUUUAGUUCAUAUUUACUCAAAAUUAAUUGCCUUUAAAUUUACAUUAGAACUGUUAAAGUAGAUUUUUGUUGACUUUCUAUAUUAAUUUAGGGUAUCGUAAUUAGAUCUAAAAUCAAUCAAACUUAGAAGUUUGUUCUGAAAAAAUGUGUUAACGUUGUUUCUAAAUACACAAUUAUAGAAACAAUUCAUAAUUAUUUAUCGGUUUGAAAAUAACAAAAACAUUACAUUAAUGAUUAUUUUGCAUGACAGGAUUGGACCCUAAGUUCAAUAAACGUUUUAACACAGCAAUGUAUAACUAUACCUCCCUGGUUUUGAGCAACAUUCUUGAAUCUUACAAGGGCUUCGACAACAUCAUCUAUUCCUGGCUAUAAGCACAACAAAAAUUAAGCCAAUGUGACACUUGCAUGAGUUUAAAAUUAAAUUGAAUUGGUUAAAUUAAAUCCCAUUUUAUUUUGUUUUGUUUUUAGUGAUUUUUUUUGGUUCUUUCUAACAUAUGGUAUGUAUUCGUUUGAAAAAUUCAUUGCAAUUCUUAUUUCAAUAAUUGAAAAAUAUUUUUUUCAUCUCUUUUGAAAAAAACAUUUUAUAUUUUCGGUUUCUCUUGUUAUGAUUUGUAAUAAAACGUUUUGUUAAUUUUAGAAUAUUUUGUGAUAUUGAAUUCACUUUGUUGUUGUACAGCAGUAUAUAUAUAUAUAUAUAUAUAUGUUUCACUUUGUUAAAUUGAGAAUGCUACUAAUAAAUUAAAAAAAAACACAAUUUCUACUGUAUUGAAAUAUGUGUUUUUUUUAUAUUUUAGUAACAUUCUCAUUUUAAAAAAGUGAAGAUUUCCUUACUAGAGAAGGACUCUCUCUCUCUCUCUCUCACUACACAAAUUUUGUUAAAGUCCAAAAAAUCUAGUAAGUCAUAUGAUUUAAUAGUAUAAUGGACUAUUGAACCAUUUGAAAUUAUGAAUUUUUUCGGUUUUUAACAAAACCCAAAAUUUUGGAUUAGAUCAUUACUAUCUAUAUAUAUAUAUAUAAGGCUUCCUUACUUUAUUAAAAUAAAGGAUAAACUAAGGAUAAUACUUGGAAUGUUUGUUUUCUUUUUUCCUUUUUUUUAGAAGAUUCCUUAUUUUGGGGGCAAGUUUAAAAAAGAUACUUUUAGAAACAAAUUUCUUUCUAAUAGAGUUCAUCCAAGGAUUAAUAUUAAAGCUCACGUGUAAUUUUGUUAUUUUAAAAAACUAAUUAAUUCGCAUAGGUGCCAUAUUAUUAAAUUUAAUAGUAUAAGUAAAAUAUUUUUCUCUCACCUUUGUAUUACCCUUUAUUUCUCCCUCUAAAUUACCAGUGAACUAAGGUACACAUCCAUGUAGCCAUAAAAAAAGAUGUUAUCUACAUAAAUUUGUUUAUUAAACCAAAUGUAAAUAUUGGAAAAAAAAUGUUGGCAAUUGUUUCUACAUAUAUUUUUUUAAAGAUUAACAAAGCAUAGUCAUCUAAUCACGUUUCGAUUUACUGGAUAACUAAAGUAAACAUACAGAGAACUAGGGAAGUACUAUAUUUUAAUUUGUAGUAGUAACAUCCAUCCAACAGCCAUCGGAAUAAAAAAAAAUGUUUUAUAAUGAGUAGAGGGAGGAUUGAAGGAGAUGAGCACAUAAGUUAAAAAGAGAAAUAUAUGAAUGUCCUAAACAUGAUGUCAAGCAAAGGAAAUCUUUUAAGUGUUGUUGGACAUUCAAGAGGAAAUUAAGGACAAUGCUGAUUUAGAAUUCAGUUCAUCCGAAGAGCCUGCAACACGCAUACUCGUGUUAGCUAAGGCAGUUUUUAAUUUUAAGUUGCCUGUAAUUUGAUUGUAAGAUCUUCCUCCGAAAUGAAGUGUAAUUUCAAUCUUUGAAUGAAAUUACUUAGUUUAAAUAAAUUAAGAUGAUAAGAGAGAGGAAAGAGCAUCGUGUUUCACGUUUAUUGUUUGACAUAUGGACUUGCGUCUAGUUAAUUAAUUUUUCGAAUUAUAAAACUGCAUGCAGUUUUAAUAUUAACCAUGUGAUAAACUUUAACCUAAUUGUUAGAAAUUUAUAUGGGUCUCAUGUUGUGAAAAUUUUAAUAUAUUCGCAAGCGCACGAAUCUAGAAAUAGAAUAGUGGUAACGAAUCUUGUAAAACUCCAAAUUUAUAUUUAAAAAAAUGAGGACAUCUGUUGUGUGUGCCUGUAUAUCAAGAACUUCCAUAACAUUGGCAUAAUUAAGUUUGAGCAAACAGUUCUUGACGUAAUGAAUAACAAAGAGUCAAAGUUUCCUAAGCACUCCAUGUAAACAAUUUAAUUAAAAACAUAGAAUCAAAGAUAAUCAUGUAAAAAUUUUAUAAAUCCAAGCAUAGAUUUAAUCGAAUAUUAAUCUGGACAUAUUAUGAGGAGUUCCUUAAAUUAAAUUUUUACGAACAAUAGUUUGAUUAAUAUGAGAAUUUUUAUAUAGUGGAUACUGCACGAUUGGAAUGAUGAACAUUGCUUGAAAUCAGUAUAAAAAAAUUAGUUAGACAUACUUGAAUUGGGAGCAACAAAAGAAAUAAAAUCACUCAUGGAAGCCAAACUGCUGCUGCCCAGUCUUGCGUCUUGCGUUUGCAGCUCCCUUCUUGGCGGCUCAUCUUCCCUCUAAAAGCCAAGAGCUUAGCUUUCUUAUAUAGCCUUUAUUCUGGGUUAUGGAGUUCUAUAAGUAGAGUGCUUGGCCAUGCGUCCUAGAAAUAAAGCAAAUCUUGUGUUGAUUGUCUUGCGUGUAUCUCUUUCCAAGCAUGCUGAUAUGUCUCCCAAAGACGAGCAUACUCACGUGGGCACUUUGAAUUGUAAUAGGUUUACUUUUUCCAUUUAUGAAAGCCACGUGGGGUCCCUUCUUAAAGCUAAAAUCAAUUUCUCUCUUUUGUCCGCAUGUGCAUGAUGAAUUAACUUGUUGAAUUCGGUUCCUUGGCUUGAUUUCCACAUGCAUGUAUGUCUAAUUACUUCCAAAAAUCAAUUAAUCUUUAAUGCUUCCAAAAUUGAGCUCUUUUAUAUCCUUUUUAUCCAUAAUCUCAAAUUAAUUCCCUAUUCAAUAAAACAAUUCAAUUAAUUAAAAAUAAGAAAAAAAAUAACUAGCAAAUAUAUAAGAAAGGGUAAAAUAUGUAUAUAAAUUAUGCUCAUUAAAUACCCCCAAACUUAGAUUUUGCUAGUCCUCGAGCAAAACUAAAACUUAAAACAAAAAUAAAAACAAUGAAACAAAAAGUAAAUCCUAACUAAACUACUUUCGCAGGUAAUCGCGAUUGCAUUUAGUGUUUGCAACAAACUUUUAAACCCUUAGGCGACCCUAGUGGACGAGUUAUAGUCUCGUGAUGGCUUUCGUGACGAUACCCACAAACAUCAUUUUUUUAAAAUAAAUAAAUAAAAAGAACAACAAACUUUAAAUAAAACAUAAAAAUAACCUCAAAGAUUGCAUAAAUUAUAUAGCUCAAAGAAAAUUUCAAAUAUUGGCAAAGUUCUAACUUUAAUUCAUUAGUCAAUCCCAUCUCUUUUUUGAUAGUUUUGAAUGACCAAGUCUAUAUUGGCAAACUCUUGAUAGUUUUGAAUGACAAGUCUAUAUAUAACCCCUUGGCCAAACAAGAAACCCCGCAAAGCGUAGGAGAAAUUCAAGAAACUUAAAAUGGAUUCUAUAGUUGAUGGAGAAAGAGACCAAAGCUUUGCAUAUGCUAGUCAAUUGGUGAUGGGUACAGUGCUACCCAUGGCCAUUCAAGCGGUGUAUGAGCUAGGCAUUUUCGAGAUCCUAGACAAAGCUGGUCCUGGUACAAAGCUCUCUGCUUCAGAUAUUGCAGCCCAGUUGCUCAAUAUCAGGGCUUAUAACUCCAUGUUUGCUUUCACAUCUAUGGGAGGUUGAGUUGAUGCAUCAAUCAAUCGAUCAAAAGGUCCUUAUGUUUUCAGGAUGAGCGGUCAGAAUUAUCAUCACAUUGGUUCUUUGUUGCCAAAAGUUGGGAAAAAACCACAGUUUGCUCAGCUUUAUAUCUAUGAUACUGAAAAUGAGACAGACAACAGAAUCAACACUCUAUUAAAACAUGGAAUGAAGACAGAAAUUGAUCACGAAAUUCUUCAUGAACUAUCAAAUUCGUAGCUAAUAAAUAGAGUUGGGCGCUCUAUUUAUGUUUAGACUGUAGUAAAGGGAUAGAUACAAAACACAACCAGAAUCUACAUUCCGUUUACGACUCCUUAAUAGUAGAGCAAGAGAUGGCCGUCGAUAUAAUAUGCCAAUAGUUUCAUAAGUUACAGGCUUAAUAGUUGGUGAUUUCAGUGAAGCGAACUUUCAACGCGAUGUUAUUAUAGAGCAUCGUACAAAGGGACUUCGAAGAAUCACAGAUUUGCAUCCAAGUUUCAUGCCCAUGACAUACCCGUUAAUAUAUCCUUAUGGCGAAGAUGGAUAUAGACCUGACAUAUCUUUAAGAGACGUAACUGAUAGCCCUUUUAAGAGGCAAAAGCUAACAAUGAGGCAAUAUUAUUGCUUUAGGUUGCAACAAAGAUUGAAUGAGGGACACACUCUACUUCAAGCUGGUAGACUAUUCCAACAAUAUAUAGUUGAUUGUUACAUGGCAAUUGAAGAACUCUGCAGCGGUAACUUCAAAUCCUUAAAAAUUGCAUAGCACAUGCAUUUUUUAUUUUGUAGAAAUAAAAAAUUUUCUAAUAGACUUGUUUUUAGAUAUUCGCCAUGCUUAAUUAUUGUUGGAAACAAUAGCUUUUAAAUUCUAACUCUAAUUAGCUUAAUAAAUACUUACUGCUAUAAUCUAAAAACCAAAUUUGUUUUAUCUAUAUAAUAAAAAGUCAUAAUAACUUUCAAAAUUAUUACGUAUUCAUACCUGCUGUACGGCCAAGGCGGAUGUACGGUACAGCAGAAAAAUUUGUUUUGAUGCAAUGUUUUGAACAUCUUUUUCUAAAACAUGUUUUGCAGCUUUGCAAUCAAUUCUAAGUAGAAAUUUUUUAUUUAAUAAAUCACUUUGGAAUUUUGAAAUGCAUAAAACAAUCUGCUGUACGGCCAAGGCGGAUGUACGGUACAGCAGAAUUUUUAAAUUAAGUAAAAAACCAAAAAAAAGUUAGCUUAAUAACUUAAUGACUGAAAACUUUUGCUAAGUUGAAAAAGUAAACGAACUUAGUGACUUAAUUGAUUGAAAUUAAGUUAAUUAAGUCACUAAGUCAAAAAAGAAAUAGCCCUUGAGCUUUUGUUAAUUAAUUUUUUUAUGAUAGUCAUCUUGAAACAUAAUACACGUAUUUGUAGAUUAAACAAGGGGGAAGAAAAUGCUAGCUUUCCCAUGUAGGACUUUUGUCUCAAUAAAUGGUGAAGACAACGUUUACAAUAUUCUCUUUUGGAUUCACUAUUUUGUUACAUACCAGGCUUAAUAGUUGGUGAUUUCAGUGAAGCAAACUUUCAACGCGAUGUUAUUAUAGAGCAUCGUACAAAGGGACUUCGAAGAAUCACAGAUUUGCAUCCAAGUUUCAUGCCCAUGACAUACCCGUUAAUAUAUCCUUAUGGCGAAGAUGGAUAUAGACCUGACAUAUCUUUAAGAGACGUAACUGAUAGCCCUUUUAAGAGGCAAAAGCUGACAAUGAGGCAAUAUUAUUGCUUUAGGUUGCAACAAAGAUUGAUGAGGGACACACUCUACUUCAAGCUAGUAGACUAUUCCAACAAUAUAUAAUUGAUUGUUACAUGGCAAUUGAAGAAGAAAGAUUUCGUUGGAUCCAGAAUAAUCAACAAAAACUUAGAUCAAACCUUUUCUCUGGUUUGAUGGAUGCUGUUCAUCGAGGUGAUUUUGAUUGUUCGAAAGUUGGAAAAUUGAUUAUUCUACCUUCAUCACACACGGGGGGACCACGAUAUAGAAUACAAAAUUAUCAAGAUACUAUGGCAAUUUGUAAAUGGGCAGGAUAUCCUGAUUUAUUUUUUACUUUCACUUGCAACCCAAAGUGGCAAGAAAUAAAUAACAUGCUCCGAUUAGUUGGACAAAAGAAUGAUGACAAUCAAGUCGAUAUCAUAUGCAGAGUUUUCGAGAUAAAAUUAUUCCAACUAAUGCAAGAUCUGAAAAAGGAUCAACCGUUUGGAAAAAUAAUUGCAUGUAAGUUCACUUCAAAUUCAUAUCCAUAACAAAUUCAACUCAUUUGUUAUUGAAAAGUGCAGGGAAGAACAAUAAUUUCACAAUUGAAAUCAAUAUUUCUAACUUUUAAAUUUUACCCCAUGUUGUGGCAGGUCUAUAUACAAUUGAGUUUCAAAAAAGAGGCUUGCCCCAUGCACACAUACUACUUUUUUUGCAUCCAACAAUGAAAAAUCCUUCUGCAGACUAUAUUGAUAAAAUAAUAAGUGCAAAAAUCUCCGGGUUAGCUUAUUUAAUUGACUGCACCACUAGUAGAUUAAUAAGUAAGAUAACUAUAACUGUAAGGGACCUUGUGUUAUUUUACAAGACUUUUUUUGCAUCCAACAAUGAAAAAUCCUUCUGCAGACUAUAUUGAUAAAAUAAUAAGUGCAAAAAUCCCUGACUUAAAUGUUGAUUCUGAUGGUUAUAAUGCAGUUAACAAAUUUAUGAUUCAUGGACCGUGUGGAAAACACAAUUCUCACUCUCCAUGCAUGAUGCAAGACAAGUGCACAAAACAUUUUCCAAAAAAACGUGUGGUGACCGUACUGGAGUUGUUGCGCGUGUCGAGGGAUUUGCAAGGGAGGUUCGAGGAAGUCGAGGUGACGAUGCUGUUAUGCCACAACUGGGACGACGUCGUUUGCGAUCUCGCUUGCAUUGAGGAGUUGUAUAAACAUGCAGCCAUUAACAAGGGUUUCUUUUGCUCCGAGUACGGCAGAGGUCACAUUAAAUUAUAGAUAUAUAUCAGCAACCGAAGCUUGCUGGCGAAUCUUCCAAUUUGACAUACAUUACAGAAAGCCGGCAGUUGAAAGAUUACCAUUCCAUUUACUGGGAGAGCAUACAGUAAUAUUCAAAGAAUCCAAGUGCUUACAAAAUGUGCUUACCAUACCUGGAAUAGAAAAAACAAAGUUCACAGAAUGGUUGGAAGCAAACAAGAUAUAUGAUGAUGUACGAGAGUUAACUUAUUCUGAUUUCCCUACAUGUUGGGAGCAAGAAAAAUAAGAGCAAUUUUUUAUUAUUUUUUCUCAUGAAACAGGUUGCAAGUUCUAAUACAAAGACCAAACUACCAAAAUCAAGAACUUUUGGGGUUAUAUUUUUCUAUUAAGAGAACGUGACACAAACGGUACACAGAGAUGUUUCCCCUUUUUGAACUCAGAAGAAAUGUCACUCUAGUCCCAAUUGAAAUAAGGAAGCAAGAGAAGCAAGUUUUCAUUAGUAUGUGAUAUUUGUAACAAGAUGUCUUCGACAUUAUUGCUCCGAUUAGUGGUAAAUUUGUGUAAUUCUGCAUAAGCCUCUGAAAUAAUGAAGUUGAUCAAGAAAGAACUAAUUGGAGAAUUUAAUUAAAUUUGCGAACAAAUGUAGUCAUUCCAUUCACAUACAGAAAGUUUUUAAUACAAAGUCCAAGCAGAUGCAUUUUAAAGAUUGUAAUAAGAGAUGAUCAAGAUUCGGUGAUAGUACUAUUCCAUAGUGAUGUUUACAGAAACACUGGUUUUAUGAGAUAGAGACGUGGCUCUUGUCUUUAUCGAUUGUGCUUUGUCAAGCUAGAGGGUUUUGUUUCUAUCAACAAUGUGUUAAUAAUGUAAUUUCUGAAUAGAAGUCAAAAUACUUUAAAAAAAUUCUUCUUUGAUAAGAGAUUCAGGUAACCGAUUGGUCAAUGAAGAGCUUGAUUAUGAUCGUGAUCAAUUAAAGAAGUUGCAUGAGAAAUCGUUUGCUGCUCUAAAUGCUUGCCAAAAAUCAGCCUAUGAAGCAAUAAUGCAUUCUGUUGAGAAUGAAAAAGGGCAUUUAUUUUUUAUCAAUGGACACGGUGGUAUUGGUAAAACAUUUUUGUGGAAUACAAUUAUUGCAAAGCUCAUAUCACAUUCUAAAAUAGUCUUGCCUGUUGCAACUUCAGGUAUAACAACUUUGUUAUUGCCUAAUGGUAGGACAACUCAUUCGUGAUUUCAUAUUCCUUUAGAUGUGACAGAAGAGUCCACUUGUGAAAUCCGACAAGGCACCUUAUUAGCUGGACUUCUUAUGAAAACUUCUUUGAUCAUUUGGGAUGAAGCGCCUAUCGCACAUAAGUUAUGCUUUGAAGCUUUGGAUAGAACCUUGAGAGAUAUUCUAAGAACAAGGUAUGAAAAUAGUUCUAUCAAACCUUUUAGAGGACUUACAAUAGUAUGUGGUGGCGAUUUCUGACAAAUAUUGCCAGUUGUGCCAAAGGGGACAAGAGCAGACAUUGUUGAUGCUUCACUUAACUCAUCCUACUUAUGGCCAUUUUUUAAAAUUUAUGAGCUCAAACAAAAUAUGAGGCUCUAUAAUGGAAGCGUGAGUGGCUCUGAGGCUGCUAAAAUAGCUUCUUUUGACAAAUGGUUGUUGCAGAUUGGAGAUGGUUCAUUAUAUGAUGACAUUGAUAGAGAUUUAGUUAAACUACCUUCUGAUAUCUGUAAGAAACCAUCAGAAAAUCUGAUGAAAUCAAUAGUCGACACUAUUUACCCAUCAAUUCGGCAUAACUACAGUGAUCUAGCAUAUUUGAAAGAAAGAGCAAUAUUAACGCCAAAAAAUGAAAUGGUGCAUGAAUUGAAUGAGAUGAUUAUGAAUAUAAUACCUGGUCAAGGGAGAACCUUUUUAGCUCAGACAGUAUAUGCAAAGCAAGCGCAAACACAAAAAAAAAAGAACUAAUUGGAGAAGUUAAUUAAAUUUGCGAACAAAUGUAGUCAUUCCAUUCACAUACAGAAAGUUUUUAAUACGAAGUCCAAGCAGAUGCAUUUUAAAGAUUGUAAUUUUAAGGAAGGUGCUCCCGUAAUGCUUCUUAGAAAUCUAAAUCAAAUAGAAGGCAUAUGCAACGGCAAAAGAUUGAUUGUCACUUGUCUUGGUAAAUGGUCCAUUAGAGGUGACAUCAUUUCUAGAACAAAUAUUGGACAAAAUGUCACAAUCCCAAGAAUUAUUAUGUCUCCGAAUGAAUCAAGAUGACCAUUCAAGCUUAACAGACGACAACUUCUGUUCCAUAGUGAUGUUUACAAAAACACUGGUUUUAUGAGAUAGAGACGUGGCUCUUGUCUUUAUCGAUUGUGCUUUGUCAAGCUAGAGGGUUUUUUUCUAUCAACAAUGUGUUAAUAAUGUAAUUUCUGAAUAGAAGUCAAAAUACUUUUAAAAAAAAUUUUUUUUAGCCUUUUGUCUGCAUCUUUGAAAAUAAAUAAUACAAGGAGCAUUUAAUUACUUCUCUCUUGUCAUUAGCCAACAAUUAUUUGAAGAUCUCAAAUACAAGGCCGGCUGCUCAAACAAUGUCAACAAAAGCUUAUCUCCUUAUGCUCUCCACUACAAUUUUUCUUUUGUUCGUUCUUUUUCGUCUUUCACCUUUCUGUGUUUACAAAAUAGAUUAUGACGGAGGCUAUAUAUUGUGUGUUUCCGUAUUCAAGAAAAUUCCUCCAAUCUCUUACGGAAACACUGUUGAACUUUCAGAUUUCAUGGUCAAUUAUAUGUCGCCCUGUCUCGAGUUACCACAAGAGAAGGAUUGACCAUACUAAAUGCCGAUCAAGAGGUAGAAGACCGAACCUUCAUAAAAAACAUUGUCUACAAAGAAGUAUUUCAAAAUAUUCACACAUCAGCUCACAAAAUCAAGGUAUCAACAUGUGAUGGUGCUUUUUAUGCACCAUGGGCCCCCCAGAGCAAGAAACUUGCUCCAGAAUAUGAAGCCGCUCCCACUGAGCUCAAGGGCAAAUCUAACACGACCCGCCCCAAACUGCAUGUUAGAAUUGAGGUGAAUUGUGCGGACUAAUAAUUUAAACUUGUAGCACAAAUUUAAUUCAUGAAAAAUAUGUAUAAAAUAUGGCCUUUCCUAUAAACACAUAACCACCUCUGUGCCUUUUCUGAAACCAUAUAUGAAUUCAAAACUUACAUAGCUUAUGUCUCAUUGUACAUACUGACAUUUCAUGUAUAUUUACAUAUAAAACAUAAGCAACAUAUCAUAGCUGCAAGCUUGAUAUAAACAACUACUCACCUACGCAGCUACAAACGAUGCGAAAUAACUUACAAAAGUCUUUACAUGUAUUUUACUUAUUUCUUUUAUAAUUCAACGCUAAGGAUCCUCAAUUACAAAAUUUAAUUUGGAACUUAUCAACUACAAAAGGUAUAAGGUCUGUACACUUAGACUAUACACGUUAAUAUUUAUUUUUAAAGUUAACAAAAAAAUAGUUAACUUUCAUAAAUAACAUUAGUUUUAUAAGGCUGCCUUAUUUAAAAAAUAAUAAUUUAUAUUUUUUAUCAGUUUUAUCAAGUGUAAAGAAAGAAAAAUUGAUAAUACUAAAUUCAUUUUCUAAAGUCGCGCGAAGCGCGGUUUUAUUUCCUAGUAUAUAUAUAUAGUAAGGCCGACAUCCUCACUUUAUUAUGCACGAGUAGAGUAGGGGAAACACCUCUCAAUACCCGGCGCAAUUUAGCUACAUCGCUUUGAUAGAGUAACCUUCACUUCCAGUAGCGAUUUCUUUCACUUCUAGUGGCAAUUAUGUGAGUUAUAGUUUGGUUCCAGCAAAUUUAUUCACUUACGAUUUUGGCGGCUUAUGUACUUUCACAAUUUGUUUCAUUAAUUUAGAAUAAUUUUUUGAUCAAUAAAAAAUAAAAAUAAAAAACAUAAAUUUUAAUAUACUAAAAGAAAAAAAUAAACUUUUUAAUGUAUUAAAUCUAUAUUUUUAUAUUUUAGUGACAUUUUAAUUUUUAAUAAAGUGAAAAUGUUUUCGCUAGAAAAGAAGGAGACUCUCUCUCUCUCUCUCUAUAUAUAUAUAUAUAUAUAUUUUAGUGCGAAUGUUCUCAUAUUUUAAAUAAGAAUUUACUAUAUUGUAUUAAGAAAUUAUUGAUCUAAACUUAGAAUUAUUUUGAAGUUAAAGAGAAGGUUGGUGUGCCCACCAAUCAAGAACAUGAGUGGUUGCUCGUGUUGCCUAAAAUUUGGCCAUGUUAAGCUUGGGCAAGGUGGGUGGCUUCCCCCCAUCAUGCCGGAAGUCGCUCAAUCACUGCUUGCAAUUAAAGCUUGUUAGUACCCAUCACCAAUUGGCUGAUGGGUGAUCAGUUCCAGCUGGGUCUGGCUGAUUAGUAGAAUGAUAUGAAGCCAUGUUUAAUUAAUUUUCUUGAAUUUCUCCCAGCCAUGCAAAUGGGUGACGACAUGAUUUGGUUGGGCAAUACAUGUUGUCGCCUGCGUUCUAGGCGACAUGAACUAAAUCUGGGCAACAGAAUUGUGUUGCCAAGAUUUGGUUGGGCGAUAUAUCAUGUUGCCCAUGUAUCGGGCAACGAAGGGCAACAACAACUGAAUCAUGUCGUCGCCUAAGUUUUCCAAUUGUAUGGGGUGGCAAUUUAGACGAAAAUUUAUUUAUUCGAUUCAAUCCAACUGGAGUCAAAUUAAAUUAGAUUUGAGUUUGAAAAUAUUCAGUUUUUUUUCUUUCGAAACAUUUAUGCCAAUGUUAUCCUAAAGAUUUCUGACUAUUUCAGUUUUGUUUUUUUAAAACAUUUAUGCUAAUACUAUCAUAAUUUAUUGCGUAGAUAUGUCUAACAAGUAGAUGCAUCACUGGUCAUUGAAGAUACCAAUUGAGGAUUAUUUCACCGAUUGCGUUUCAAAUUUAAUGAGAUUUAAUUUUUUUCAUUAUGCGUAUACAGACCAAGUUAACUGAUACUCAAUUUAGGCUAUUCAAAAAGUCAAUUUUUGGUCAUUUUCUAGCGAUGGGGGCCCCAGGAUUUAGCGACAAUUUUGUACAUUAUUUGUUUCUCAGACUAGUCAUGAAACAAGUUGAUGAUGAGUACCAAAUGUGGUUUAGGAUUGGCAAUGAGAUGUUAUGUUUCUCUCUUCGAGAAUGGUGCUUGGUGACAUGAUUGAAAUGUGAUAAUGUGGAAAAUUUGCACGAAAAACACUUGGCAAAUACGUGAUCAGUAUUUCAAUGGAGCACAAUACUUUAAGUUUUUUCAUGCUAAAUAAUUGGUCUGGCCCACACAAAUACCCUUGUAAAUAGAACCAUCAACCAUGUCUGAAGCUACCCAAUCUGAUGGCACAAUUGGAGCUAUGCUUGGAGUUUCACUUAUUUUUUAUUUUUUUAAUUGUUGUAAAUUUGAAAUGAAUUAAUAAUUAACAAGUUGUUAUAAUUAACAAGUUGUUAUAAUUAACAAUGAAUUAAAAAAAUUAAAUAUUUUAAAAUAAAAUAAUAUAUGAAGAAAAUUAAGCAAAUAAAUGCUAAAGAUUUAAUUUUUUUAAUACUAUAUUUUCUAAUUUAAACAUCAUCUUAAUUAAUUACUGCUUUAGAGAGAGAUUAAUAUUAUAAUUUUAGGUUUUGUGAAUCAUUUUGUAUUGACAACAUUGUCAUCAAUAGGAUAAUUAUGGGAGCGGAAUGGGGAGUAGUGUUUAAAGGUGGAAGUUUGAAUUGAUGGCAUCAAAGAAAGUUCUAUCGGAACUUUAGGACUUGUUGUUACAUAAAUAGAAGUGCACUCAUAGUUAAUUGGAUCAGAGUUCAUACGCAUAAUCACUCUCACCAUUUCAUCGUUCACUAUGUCUAUAGGCAGUGAAUCAAUGGGUUGCGUCAGAUGAGUUGAUUUCACAUUUGUCUUUACCAAGAGGGAAUAUUCAUCUGAACUUUUCUUCAAAAUUUCAUACAACUUUGCAAUAAAUUGUUCAAAUGUUACAUCUUUUUGAAAACAAAAUGCAGUAACUUUUCCAUUCUCAUACUCUAUACGACCAUCCUUCAAAGUCUCCCACGCUCUAUCAAAAUACAUCAUAAGAACUAACAACUAUAUUAACCUGAUGCAAAAUAAUAAUAAUACUUUAUUAAAAGCACUGCAAACAAUAAUAUUACUAUAUUAAUUAAAUAACUAAUAUUUUUAAAUUUUAAUAUAUUGUUCUAAUUAUAAAUUUAUUUUGUAAAAAAAAAAUAGAGUGCUGGGCCUAGUCCGAGCAUUUUCUCUUAAGCUCUUAUCUAAUUCCUCGCAUAGAAAGAUUGGCCGAAAGCUUGCGGGCUUGGGCCAGAUGGGCUUUUUUAUCCACCCUGUUCUGCCCAGGCGAUAGAUAAUGUCACCCAAAUUACAAGCGAUUGUAUAUUCGGUGAUAUGAGUACUAAUUGCCCAAUAUGCAGUAUUAUGUCAUCUGGGUGAUGAAUACCGGAAUCCAAGCGACCGGUACGACAAGUCAUUCUAAGUUUGGGCGAGCAUCUCAGUCACAUGAUACAAAGAUAAAAAAAUUCUCACAAUCAACUCUCACAUUCCACAAAUGGGGAAAAUAAUGAUGGUGAUAAUAUUAUGAUCGAUGUUUUUCAGUGAUCUUAUUGUAAGAAGCUUUUUUCCCAAAAAAUCAUGCAUUUGAUUGAGAUCCCACUGCAUUUACAGCAUCUCGAGGCACUUCAUCUCACAUGUUUCUUUCAACUUUGGGCGACAGGUACUUGUCACUUGGAUUUUGGGUUUCGUCUUCAACAUUGUUUAAAACCCAUUUUUUUCGAAUUUUACUGGAAUUUUACUAAUUUAUAAAUUUAUGACCUCACAUUAACUAUUUAAUGUACCCACAUUGUAGUAAAAUGAGCAACCGAUCUUUUGUAUGAAACCCAACAAAAAAAUAAAAGAUAAAUAUUGAAGAAAUACUAACCCUAACUUCUUAUUAUUCUUUAGUUUGUUGCUUGAUUUUGUCUUCAAUACUUAGAUAAAUAUAAUAGUUUGAUGAAUGUGAGAUAGAUAAAAGGGAGGUUGAGUGAUAGUUGAUAAUGUGGGAGAGGUGAAAUGAUGACUGUUUUGGUGGUGUGUGGAGAUGUUCGACUGUUGCUUGGGAGUUGGGGGUUUGUUUGCUUAGUUUUAGGGGAAUAUUAUAUUUCUCUAAGAACAUGAGGCAGACAUUGGAGUGAUGGAAGAUGAUCCAAUCAAUUUCUGUCAGGCCAUGAAAAGUUUUAACUCUCAGAAGUGGAUUGAUGCCAUGAAUGAGGAGAUAAAAUCCAUGAAAGACAAUGACGUAUCGGAUCUUGUCCCAUUGGCAGAAGGUGCGAAACCUAUUGGUUGCAAAUAGAUAUUUAAGACCAAGAGGGAUUCGAAAGGUAAUGUAGAGAGAUGCAAGGUGCGUCUUGUCGCAAACGAUUUUACGCAGAAAGAAGGCAUUGACUAUAAAGUAACUUUCUCUCUGGUUUCUUUGAAAGACUCUUUCAGGAUUAAAAUGGCAUUAGUGGUGUAUUUCGAUCUUGAGUUACUUUUACAAAGCAUAAUUAUAAGGUUACACAUAUAGCACAAGUGGGAGAUUAUUGAAUUUUUAAUCCAAUAUUGUUGGAUCCUUAAUCCAAUAUUGGGCCUAUAUGUGAAUAAUUAUGUGUUACAGACUUUAAUAUAUCUAAUAGGAUAUGGGCAUUUAAUAUGUAAAGACAAUAGAAAAAAGUUGUCUAGAUAAGUGGUUAUGGUUCUCAUGUCACACAUAUUUUUAUAUUCUUUCUGAAAUCCGAUCGUCAGAAAGAUAGCCUUGAGAAAACUUAAAGGAUUCUCUAGGAGAACGUGUAGAUUUGGAAGGCCAACCACACAAUCCUAGAGAGCAAUUCAAUGUUAUAGAUUCAGGUACACUUCCGCAUAAUUUUGUUAUUGAUUUUUUGUGAUAUAACAUGAAUAUCAUCUGUAAGGACAACUGUUGCUAGCACUCCUUAAAAUUUUAUAUAAAAAUAAGUUUUUAAUUAAUGUUUCGACAUGUGUUUCUAAUCGGGCCCUGCAAAUAAAGUAUUACUCUUUUUUUAGAACCUUACUUGUUACCUUCCUUAACAUGUUUUCUUCUGCCCAGUGGCCACUGUGCCAUACAAUUUCAGUGGAGCGCACACAGACUGACGAAAAAGUUUGAAAACUUGGUGUUUUGGUGUUGACGGCAAAGCUUGGUCUUUUGGACGUGGCCAGGAAAGGAAGCUCCGUUGGGAACUUGGAGGUGACGAUGGGUAGAGUCUAGUGCUUUGAGAGAGGCCGUGAGUUUAGACCUAGGGUCUUAUUUUUUAUUAUUUAUUAUUUGGUUAAAUUAAAAUAAAAUGAGUUAAAAAAAUAUUUUGAGUUCGAGUUUGGAGGCCUGAUAAAAUUAUCAUUUAUGUGUUCUAUUUACAAAUAAUAAUAAUAGUAUUGGCUAACAAAUAUACUUAUUAACAAUGUUAGUAAUAGAUGUUAAGAGUUAUAGUAUCAUCAAUCAUAAUGCUAGUAGUAAAACAAUAUCAUCAAGUAUUAAAGUUACAUGUAAUCAUGUAUAAGCUUCGAUAACAACUCAAAGAAAUUUUUGUGAUUUCAAAUUAGUGAGUAAAUGAAACGAUAAAAAGUAAUUUAAUUAAUUUGAUAGAAAUUUGUAUGAAAUAUUUUUAAUUAGAUAUUGUUAUCUUAUAGUUGUCCAUAUCAAGAAUUAAAUCGUAUUAUUAAUUAUAUGAGUCAUUAGUACAAAUAAUAUUAAAAACAGCAAUAUUUUAUGGACAAUAUGAUACUCGUCCCGCAAAUAAAGUUUUACUUUUUUUUUUAAACCCUACCUACCUAUAACCUACCUCUAACUAGGCCAACAUUUUUUCUUCAAUUAAUUUUAUAUUGAACGUGAAAAAUAUUGAGGACCAUGCACACAUUCAAAAAAAUUAUUGGGAUUCGAAUCAAGUCUCUAAAACCACUAAGUAACAUUUUUUCAUUUAACUCAUUCAGAAGGUGCUCAGGGCACACUUAAAAAAAAAAUGGUUCAGAGGGCUAAAACCCCUCUUAUGCUUUAAAAAUUAGAAAACUACAAAGGUUAUAAAGUUGCCUUUGAUAAAUCAAGUUGUGUUAUUGAGAAUGCAUGUGAUGGGAAUAUUUUGUUUAUGGGAAAUAGAUGUGGCAAUGUUUACACGAUUAAUAUAGAGUGUGCAUCUACUCAUGAUAAAUGUUUUUCGGCAUUGCAUGAUGAUGGUUGGUUGUGGCAUAGAAGACUAGGACAUGCAAGCAUGGAUUUAAUUUCAAAAAUUUUGAAAAAUGAUUUAGUUAAAGGUCUUCCAAAAAUUUGUUUUCAAAAGGAUAGAAUUUGUGAAGCAUGUCAAUUUAGAAAACAAAUCAAAACCUCUUUAAUGCUUCCAAAAUUGAGCUCUUUUAUAUCCUUUUUAUCCAUAAUCUCAAAUUAAUUCCCUAUUCAAUAAAAUAAUUCAAUUAAUUAAAAAUAAGAAAUAAAAUAACUAGCAAAUAUAUAAGAAAGGGUAAAAUAUGUAUAUAAAUUAUGCUCAUUAAAUACCCCCAAACUUAGAUUUUGCUAGUCCUCGAGCAAAACUAAAACUUAAAACAAAAAUAAAAACAAUGAAACAAAAAGUAAAUCCUAACUAAACUACUUUCGCAGGUAAUCGCGAAUGCAUUUAGUGUAUGCAACAAGCCUUUAAACCCCUAGACGGCCCUAGUGGACGAGUUAUAGUCUCGUGAUGGCUUUAGUGACGAUACCCACAAACAUCAUUUUUUUUAAAAAAUAAAUAAAUAAAAAUAACAACAAACUUUAAAUAAAACAUAAAAAUAGCCUCAAAGAUUGCAUAAAUUAUAUAGCUCAAAGAAAAUUUUAAAUACUGGCAAAGUUCUAAUUUUAAUUCAUUAGUCAAUCCCAUCUCUCUUUUGAUAGUUUUGAAUGACCAAGUCUAUAUUGGCAAACUCUUGAUAGUUUUGAAUGACAAGUCUAUAUAUAACCCCCUGGCCAAACAAGAAACCCCGCAAAGCGUACAAGAAAUUCAAGAAAUUUAAAAUGGAUUCUAUAUUUUCGCUAGAAAAGAAGGAGACUCUCUCUCUCUCGCGAAUGUUCUCAUAUUUUAAAUAAGAAUUUACUAUAUUGUAUAAUAAAUUCAUAUUUUAAAAAAUACGAAUAUCUGUACGUGAUAUAUAUAUAUAUAAUCAAUUGGCGAUGGGUACAAUGCUACCCAUGGCCAUUCAAACGGUGUAUGAGCUAGGCAUUUUCGAGAUCCUAGACAAAGUUGGUCCUGGUGCAAAGCUAGUACUCAUCACCAAUUGGCUGAUGGGUGAUCAGUACAUUGGAUCCAACUGGGUCUGGCUGAUUAGUAGAAUGAUAUGAAGCCAUGUUUAAUUAAUUUUCCUGAAUUUCUUAUGUGUUUAACAGCGUCAGCCGAUAGCAAAUGACCCCUAAUACAAAUAGUUCAGGACAAGGUCUUUCUGAAGAGCUGGUAAUUAAUUAAUUUCUAUUUCUCCCUUUUUCUCAGUAAAUGAUCAGCUAGACCAUGCAUGCAUGCAUGGAGCAUAUAUAUAGACGAUGCAUGAUAAAUUGGUUUUUCGGAAUUUAUUUAGGUCCCAACUCAAAGAUGCUAUUCUUGAAGGAGGAAUUCCCGGGCUGGCAAUUUGGACGAAAAUUUAUUUAUUCGAUUCGAUUCAACUGGAGUCAAAUUAAAUUAGAUUUGAGUUUGAAAAUAUUAAUUCAUUUAAUAAAUAAAUGAAUUUGAUUCAAUUUACUAAAUAAACGAAUCGAAUUCAAAUUUGUGAUCACUGGUUUAUUCUUGAAUCUUACAAGGGUUUCGACAACAUCAAGCAACUGGUCGAUGUUGGUGGUAGUCUCGGCAUUACUCUUCAAGCCAUCACUACCAAGUACCCCUAUAUUAAGGGCAUCAAUUUCGACCAGCCUCAUGUUAUUGACCAUGCCCCACCACAUCCACGUAUGAUUAUUAAUCUCAUGUUAUAUAUACGAGUACUUGUCGGGACAUUACACUAUUAUACCAUAUGCGGUAACAAUUUUCUUGCACUUUAUUAAAGUGCAACAACUCUCAUAAAUAUAUAUAUAGUCAUUCGCUAGGGUGGGCACCCUCAUUUUUUUUUUAAUGCAAACACUUUGUUGUACCGUGCGAUUUAAUAGAAUUAAUGAAGAACACCGUUAAAUCGUACGGUUUAAUAGUGUGUCCUCAUUUAUAAAAAAAAAUAAGGGCACCCACCUUAGAGAAGGACUAUAUAUAUGUGUGUGUGUGUGUGUGUGUGUGUGUGUUUUACUUUGUUAAAUUGAGAGUGCUACUAAUAAAUUAAAAAAAAAACACAAUUUCUAAUGUAUUGAAAUAUGUGUUUUUUUUUUAUAUUUUAGUAACAUUCUCAUUUUAAAAAAGUGAAGAUUUCAUUACUAGAGAAGGACUCUCUCUCUCUCUCACUACACAAAUUUUGUUAAAGUCCGAAAAAUCUAGUAAGUCAUAUGAUUUAAUAGUAUAAUGGACUAUUGAACCAUUUGAAAUUAUGAUUUUUUUUGGUUUUUAACAAAACCCAAAAUUUUGGAUUAGAUCAUUACUAUAUAUAUAUAUAUAUAUAAGGCUUCCUUACUUUAUUAAAAUAAAGGAUAAACUAAGGAUAAUACUUGGAAUGUUUGUUUUCUUUUUUCCUUUUUUUUAGAAGAUUCCUUAUUUUGGGGGCAAGUUUAAAAAAGAUACUUUUAGAAACAAAUUUCUUUCUAAUAGAGUUCAUCCAAGGAUUAAUAUUAAAGCUCACGUGUAAUUUUGUUAUUUUAAAAAACUAAUUAAUUCGCAUAGGUGCCAUAUUAUUAAAUUUAAUAGUAUAAGUAAAAUAUUUUUCUCUCACCUUUGUAUUACCCUUUAUUUCUCCCUCUAAAUUACCAGUGAACUAAGGUACACAUCCAUGUAGCCAUAAAAAAAGAUGUUAUCUACAUAAAUUUGUUUAUUAAACCAAAUGUAAAUAUUGGAAAAAAAAUGUUGGCAAUUGUUUCUACAUAUAUUUUUUUAAAGAUUAACAAAGCAUAGUCAUCUAAUCACGUUUCGAUUUACUGGAUAACUAAAGUAAACAUACAGAGAACUAGGGAAGUACUAUAUUUUAAUUUGUAGUAGUAACAUCCAUCCAACAGCCAUCAGAAUAAAAAAAAAUGUUUUAUAAUGAGUAGAGGGCGGAUUGAAGGAGAUGAGCACAUAAGUUAAAAAGAGAAAUAUAUGAAUGUCCUAAACAUGAUGUCAAGCAAAGGAAGUCUUUUAAGUGUUGUUGGACAUUCAAGAGGAAAUUAAGGACAAUGCUGAUUUAGAAUUCAGUUCAUCCGAAGAGCCUGCAACACGCAUACUCGUGUUAGCUAAGGCAGCUUUUAAUUUUAAGUUGCCUGUAAUUUGAUUGGAAGAUCUUCCUCCGAAAUGAAGUGUAAUUUCAAUCUUUGAAUGAAAUUACUUAGUUUAAAUAAAUUAAGAUGAUAAGAGAGAGGAAAGAGCGUUGUGUUUCACGUUUAUUGUUUGAUGUAGGGACUGGCGUGUAGUUAAUUAAUUUUUAGAAUUAUAAAACUGCAUGCAGUUUUAAUAUUAACCAUGUGAUAAACUUUAACCUAAUUGUUAGAAAUUUAUAUGUAAAAUUGUAUUAAAAAAAAUCCCUUGAACCUGCUCUCAUAUAUGUGUGUGUAUAAUUCUUCUGUUGUGUGUGCCAGUAUAUCAGGAACUUCCAUAACAUUGGCAUAAUUAAGUUUGAGCAAACAGUUCUUGACGUAAUACAUCUUGCUAAUGAAAAUAGAGUGGCAUAAUUCUAAUUGUCUGAUUUCUUAAUUGUAUAAUAUUUUAUAGGUAUUGAGCAUGUAGGGGGUGAUAUGUUCCAAAGUGUUCCAAAAGGUGAUGCCAUUAUUAUGAAGGUAAGUUUUUAAUUUAAUUUGCGGACAUAUUAUGAGGAGUUCCUUAAAUUAAAUUUUUACAAACAAUAGUUUGAUUAAUAUGAGAAUUUAUAUAGUGGAUACUGCACGAUUGGAAUGAUGAACAUUGCUUGAAGUUGUUGAAGAAUUGCUACAAAAGCAUCCCAGAAGAUGGAAAGGUAAUCGUUGUGGAGUCAAUGCUUCCAGAAGUUCCUAAUACAAGCAUUGAAUCAAAAUCAAAUUCCCAUUUUGACGUGCUUAUGAUGAUUCAAAGUCCCGGUGGAAAGGAGAGAACAAGGCAUGAAUUCAUGACCCUGGCUACUGGCGCUGGUUUUGGUGGGAUCAGUUGUGAACUUGCUAUUGGUAAUCUCUGGGUUAUGGAGUUCUAUAAGUAGAGUGCAUGCCCAUGCAUCCUAGAAAUAAAGCAAAUCUUGUGUUGAUUGUCUUGCGUGUAUCCUGCUGUACCGUACAUCCGCCUUGGCCGUACAGCAGAUCAUAUCUCUGCGAUAUAUAUCCUGAUGGCUAUUUUCUUCAUCAGCUUUUUUGGCAAUAGAUCCUUAUUGUAUAAGUUUGCCCACUCUUUGUAUUUCUUAUGCGUUUGGGCUCAUUUUGGGUUGGGCUUGCAUCCGAAUGUGGAUAGUGGUUUUGACUCUUGAAAAUGGAAUAACAUGCUCAACCAAUUCCUAUGCCCCACAGCAAAUACUAAUAAAAAGUAUGACGUGCCCUUGCGGGAAUGACUACAUCUCAAAGAUAUGGUUGAUUGAGUUAGCUUUAUCCGUGAGUCUUCUUGUUUUAAUUUGAAUCAUAUGUUCAUAUAUGAUAGUCACAGAUAAUAAGAGAUUCUACAGUACGUAUGUGUUUGGUACUUAUUGGACAAUACAAUGCACAGCUAGAUUAAUUUGGAAACCAAUUUGGUGGGGGGAAAGCAGAAAAUAUCCAAUUCUACCAAUUCGCUGGUUGGUACUGAUCGACUAUGCCAACGACCUCCUUUAUCCCCCAACCUCCUUAUUUAUUUUCAAGGACAUCUCUAUUCACUGAUUCACUCAUACAUGACCGAGCAGCUCGCUACAUGAUGGGUUCCAAAAAAAAUUCUGUUAGACUUGUUUUAGGUAUUAGCCCUACUUAAUUAUUUUUGGAAAGUAUAGCUUUUAAAUUCCAACACGAAUGUGCUUAAUAAAUACUUACUGCUAUAAUCUAAAAAUUAAGUUUAUUUUAUUUAUACAAUAAAAAGUCAUAAUAACUUUUAAAAUUAUUACAUAUUACCAUACUUUCUCAUUUUUUUUAAUCACAACACCUCAGUACCAAAUAUAGUGAUAAUUUAUAUUUAAUAAUUGAAUAUUGACUUAUUUUUUUGUCAUAGAUGUCUCACCAUAACUUUAUCAUAUUUCUAGUAUGUUACUGAUACUAAAUAAACUCCUUACACAUGUUUAGCUUUUCUAAUUGCACUACUAGAAAAAUGGGCUACCAUGACAGAGAAUAUCUGUCAUCCGACCCUGUUUAUGACAGAGUUUCUAUCUGUCAUUGUAGCCCCUCUCACAAACUUGUGACAGUAAUUUAUCUAUCAUAGGUAUAUGUGACAGCUUAUAUCUAUCACAAAUGUGUCACAACAAAAGCAACGUCAUUUUAAUAUUUUAGUGGUAAAUUUUUUUUAUUGUGAAAAAUCUUUUGGCGGGUAUUAUUAAUUCAAUUUUAAAUUAUGGCUCGUAAUUAUGUGUCACAACUUUAUGAUUCUAAUAUGGUGUCACGAUGUGAUUUUUUUUAAAAUAAUAAUAUUAUUAAAAGAAUUUUUUUUAAAUUAUAAAUUUGUAAUAUUUUAAAUAAUAUUAAUAUUUUUAAUAAUAAUAAUAAUAUUAUUAUUUUAUAAUUUUAUAAAUUCCAUUGAAAUUUAAAAAUUACAAUAUGUAUAAAAUCAAUACAUCCAAAUUAUCUCAACAAUAUUAUCAAAACAUCACUAAAUCAUCACUUGAAAUAACCAUAACAUUGUCAAAACAUCAUCUAUUCAAUUAUCACAAAUCUACAUCCCAACACUACCAUCUGGAUCAUUACCAGCAUACAAAAACAUCACAACACUAUAUAUCAUCUGAAACACUACCAGGCUGAUCAAGAUUCACUACUAUACUUAAGACUUUAUCAAACAAUAUAGCAUACAAAUUUCACUACCACUUAGACUUUAUCAAGAUUCACUAUCAUUUGGAACAAUACCAGCAUACAAAAUUCACUGCCACUUAGACUUUAUCAAACAAUAUCAUCAUCAACUCCACUGCUCAUACUAUCAGCUCAGACACAAAGGAAGCAUACUCGAGACGCACUUCAUCAAGCUCACUUUGAGUGUAUUCACAUUUCCCUUUAAACUGUCAAAUGAUGAUCACAUGUCAAACUAAAGUAAUUCGUUUAUUCAUUUUGCAGCCCCUAAUAUUAAUAAUUUGAAGUUGACAAUCCUACCUAAUAUGAACAUAGGGAUGACAAAAUGUGGGCUUAGGUCAAGCUUUUCUGAGCCCAAGCCCAUUUUAGUAGAAGCAUGAGGACAAGGCUUGGACUUUCACUUUUUUUUUUUAAUUGUUGUAAAUUUGAAAUGAAUUAAUAAUUAACAAGUUGUUAUAAUUAACAAUGAGUUAAAGAAAUUAAAUAUUUUAAAAUAAAAUAAUAAAUGAAGAAAAUUAAGCAAAUAAAUGCUAAAGAUUUAAUUUUUUUAAUACUGCAUUUUCUAAUUUAAACAUCAUUUUAAUUAAUUACUGCUUAAGAGAGAGAUUAAUAUUAUAAUUUUAGGUUUUGUGAAUCAUUAUUGAUUUAUGAAUUAAGAAUUUAAGUUUUUUUUUUUUAAAUUUUAAUAUAUUGUUCUAAUUUAUAAAUUUAUUUUGUAAAAAAAAAAAUAGAGUGCUGGGCCUAGUCCGAGCAUUUUCUCUUAAGCUCUUAUCUAAUUCCUCGCGUAGAAAGAUGGGCCGAAAGCUUACGGACUUGGGCUAGAUGGGCUUUUUUAUCCACCCUAUUCGCACAUGGUUUUCAUGCAUGUUAAUUUGCCUACAACUACUAAUUCAGUAAAGUUGUAGUGUUACUUGGGCUAGAUGGGCUUUUUUAUCCACCUUGUUCGCACAUGGUUUUCAUGCAUGUUAAUUUGCCUACAACUACUAAUUCAGUAAAGUUGUAGUGUUAAAUCAUCUCCUCAAUAGCAAUUUAAGUGUUGGUGUGGGCACCUAUUCACGCAAUAGCCGACCAGAUUUCUUCAUCAACAGUUUGUAUUUUCUAAUCUUUGAGUUGUAUUUGAAAGAUGGUUAAAGUUGUUCCAGCAUCUUAGUCACAUGAUACAAAGAUAAAAAAAAUUCUCAUAAUCAACUCUCACAUUCCAAAAAUGGGGAAAAUAAUGAUGGUGAUAAUAUUAUGAUCGAUGUUUUUCAGUGAUCUUAUUGUAAGAAGCUUUUUUCCCAAAAAAUCAUGCAUUUGAUUGAGAUCCCACUGCAUUUACAGCAUCUCGAGGCACUUCAUCUCACAUGUUUCUUUCAACAUCAGUGCAUGUUUAGAACUAAAAUUAUGUUGGUUCAUCUUUGGAACUUGUAAGCACUCCUAAGUUGACAUAAACUCUACAUCGACAACUACUUGGCAUCAAGAAUAAAUUCUUGAUUGCGAGGAUGAGUAGUGGUCACAAAUUAACUAACAUUUGGAUAGUUGGGAAAGAAUACAUCUUAUCGAAGGAUUGAGUGAAAGUUGUGUUUGUCUUUAUCCAUGCACAAUUAUUUAUCUUGAUUUGAUGUAUGAGACAAAGCAACCCGUUUUAAAAAUGCAACUCCUUUUAUUUGUGACUAUGUUAUAGUUUGUGCAAACUUUUGUAUUAAUUAUCUCUAUUAUGUCUUUUUUUUAAACAAAGCCUAUAUGUUUUAAUUAUUUAUUUAUGUUAGGAUAUUUUUUAAGUUAUCUAUUUUAUUCACUUGGAUUUUUAUUUCAAAAGAUAUAUCAUUGAAAAGUUUAUUAAAAUAUUUUUGACAAAAAGAAUUUUUGACAAAGUUAUCAAAAAGUAAAUAUUUAUUUUCUAAAAAUAUAAUUUUUAUGAUAACCAAAAAAAUAUAGUACAAUGCAAUGCAAUACCAAACAUAGUAUAAUUAAAAAUUAAUAUAGUACAAUAUAACACUAAAUGCUGCACAAUAUUAAUAAAAUAAAGUGUUAAUGCAAUACAAUAUAAUGCAAUAUGCUUGUAUUAAAAUAAUGCAAAACAUAUAAUAUAAUAACAAUGUACCAAAUGCACCUAUAGUACAUAAUCACACAUGGGUUCUCUUCGGUGGCUGGACCAAACACUUAAAUUUGAGAGGGAUUGGUAAUGACUGUCUCAGUCAUCUGUAAGGACAACUGUUGCUAGCACUCUUCAAAAUUUUAUAUAAAAAUACUUUUUUAAUUAAUGUUUCGGCAUGUGUUUCUAAUCGGGCCCUGCAAAUAAAGUAUUACUCUUUUUUAGAACCUUACUUGUUACCUAUGUCUAACUAGGUCAACAUUUUCUUUUCGAUUAGUUUUUAUAUUGAACGUGAAAAAAAAAAUUAAGGACCAAGACACUAGUCACGAUAGGCGAUUGUCGCUAACACUCCUCAAAUUUUUAUACAAAAAAUACUCUUUUUAGUAUUUCAAAUCCAUGUUUUCUAAUCGGAUCUUGCAAAUAAAGUAUUACUUGUUUCUUGAAAUCGUACCUAUUUGUUACCUACUUCUAACUAAGCCAACAUUUUCUCUUAAAUUAGUUUUCAAUAAUAUUUCGGACCCAUGUUUUUUAAUUGCGUCCCGCAAAUAAAGUUUUACUUUUUUUCUUAAAACCCUACCUACCUAUAACCUAUCUCUAACUAGGCCAACAUUUUUUCUUCAAUUAAUUUAUAUUGAACGUGAAAAAUAUUGAGGACCAUGCACACAUUCAAAAAAAUUAUUGGGAUUCGAAUCAAGUCUCUAAAACCACUAAGUAACAUGUGUACCAUUGGGCUACAAGUGUUUUAUUAUUUAAAAAAUAUUUCUAAAUGCUUUUCAUUUAACUCAUUCAGAAGGUGCUCGGGGCACACUUAAAAAAAAAUGGUUCAGAGGGCUAAAGCCCCUUUUAUGGCAUCUUCUGUCCUUUUCGCGUUGCAGGCUUAACUUUUUGAAAUUAACAACCAGUAAACAUGUUGUCAAAAAUUUUAAUAUACUCGCAAGCGCAUAAAUUUAGAGAUAGAAUAGUGGUAAUGAGGUUGAUCAUACAUGGAUUGUUAUAAAUUAAAAAGUCUAAUUUAAAUUUAAAAUUAAUAUUAAUUCUAACCUAAUUGAGCAAAUUGAAUUUUUAAGAGAAAUUAAACUAAUUAAACUAAAAAAACAAUUAAAGUAAAUGAGAAAUCAAUAAGACAAAAGUUACUAAGAUUUCAUAAUCCACCACUAUUCAACUAAUAAUUAUCUAAUUAUUAAUUAAUCUCCAAUUUUAGAGUGAUAACUCGAAAUCAAUCUAUGUCAUCUCAUGGAUAUAACAAUUAAACCCAAGUAAUUAAAUCUAAUGUAGGUGCUUUUUCUGCUUAAUAGUAUGACAUCUAAGCAUCCCAUGUAAACAUAUUGAAUAACAAAGAGUCAAAGUUUUCCUAAACACUCUAUGUAAACAAUUUAAAGAAAGAUAUAGAAUAAAAAAUAGGGAAAUUAUCACCGGUAUACCCUUAAAUGUCACCGGUAUCAAACGUACUACAAUACUUUUCACUUAUAUCACUCGUAUACCCUAAGUUGACAAAAGAGUUCUGGCGUCCACCUUUCCGUUUACUACCGUUAAGAACUUAAUAGAAUUUGAGCAAAAUGACUAUUUUACCCUUUAAACUCAAAAUGAGGUAAAAAAAUAAAUUUACCUUGAAAAUUAAUGUAAAUUUUCAAUACACAAUUUUUUUUAUUUUGUCAUUAACAAUACAUUUUUUAUUAAAAAAAUAUAAAUUAUUAAUGGUACAUAUUAUUAACAAUUAUCCAUAAAAAAUAUUCAUCUUAUACCAUAAAAAAUUAUUAACAACAUAUUAUUUAUAAUUAUACAUAUUAUACCAUAAAAAACUCAAGUUGGAGCUUGGAGGAGUAGAUCUUCAAUAAUUUUGGUUAAAUUUUGGAAGAGUAAAUUCAGUUGUAAAGUAGCUUUUUUUUUUUUUACAAUUAUUAACAAUUAUCCGAUAAAUGGGAUGACAUGUCAUUUUUAUCAAAAUAUAUCAUAUGACAUGUCAUUUUUUACUAGGUAAAUGGGAUGACAUGUCGUUUUUAAAAAAGACUAGAUCACCCUUAUGAUGUCAGCGCUCGCAAACGGCAGUUAACGGAUCGGUGGACGGCAGAAGUGUUUUGUCAACUUAGGGUAUACGAGUGAUACAUUUAAAAAUGUUAUAACACGUUUGAUACUGAUGUCAUUUAAGGGUAUAUGACUGAUAAUUUCCCUAAAAAAUAAUCAUGUAUAAACUUUAUAGAUCCAAGCAUAGAUUUAAUCAAAUAUUAAUCUUAACAAUUAAUAAUGCAUGACAGAAUUGAUGAAAAGAUUUUAAUAACAUCAAAUUAAUCAUGUGAAAUAAAAACCAUAAUCAUUAAAGCAUACAUGUAGGGAAUUAAUUAAAUAAAAAGAUAAUUAUUUUAUUGAAUAAGAUUUCAUCCUUAACCUCAGUAUAAAAAAAUUAGUUAGAUAUACUUAAAUUGAGAGCAACAAAAAAAUAUAAAAUCAUCCAUUGAAGCCGAACUGCUGCAGCUGAUUUUCUCCCGAAUCGCGUCUGUUCUUUUUUUCCUUCCUCUGGCGGCUACUUUUCAUUCAAAAGCCAAAGGCUUGUUUAUAUAGUCUUUAAAAUGGGCCCCACCUUAUCAAUUCUAAAGCAUAUUUGUUUUGCUUCACUCACGUGCUGGGCACUUAGAAUUGCAAUAGGAUUCUUUUUUCAUUUAUGAAAGCCAAUUGCGGGUCUUUUUUAAAGCUAAAAUCAAAUUCUCUCUUUUGUCCGCAUGUGCAUGAUGAAUUAACUUGUUGAAUUCGGUUCCUUGGCUUGAUUUCCACAUGCAUGUAUGUCUAAUUACUUCCAAAAAUCAAUUAAUCUUUAAUGCUUCCAAAAUUGAGCUCUUUUAUAUCCUUUUUAUCCAUAAUCUCAAAUUAAUUCCCUAUUCAAUAAAACAAUUCAAUUAAUUAAAAAUAAGAAAAAAAAUAACUAGCAAAUAUAUAAGAAAGGGUAAAAUAUGUAUAUAAAUUAUGCUCAUUAAAUACCCCCAAACUUAGAUUUUGCUAGUCCUCGAGCAAAACUAAAACUUAAAACAAAAAUAAAAACAAUGAAACAAAAAGUAAAUCCUAACUAAACUACUUUUCCAAGUAAUCGCGAUUGCAUUUAACGUAUGCAACAAGCCUUUAAACCCCUAGACGGCCCUAGUGGACGAGUUAUAGUCUCGUGAUGGCUUUAGUGACGAUACCCACAAACAUCAUUUUUUUUAAAAAAUAAAUAAAUAAAAAGAACAACAAACUUUAAAUAAAACAUAAAAAUAGCCUCAAAGAUUGCAUAAAUUAUAUAGCUCAAAGAAAAUUUCAAAUAUUGGCAAAGUUCUAAUUUUAAUUCAUUAGUCAAUCCCAUCUCUCUUUUGAUAGUUUUGAAUGACCAAGUCUAUAUUGGCAAACUCUUGAUAGUUUUGAAUGACAAGUCUAUAUAUAACCCCUUGGCCAAACAAGAAACCCCGCAAAGCGUAGGAGAAAUUCAAGAAACUUAAAAUGGAUUCUAUAGUUGAUGGAGAAAGAGACCAAAGCUUUGCAUAUGCUAGUCAAUUGGUGAUGGGUACAGUGCUACCCAUGGCCAUUCAAGCGGUGUAUGAGCUGGGCAUUUUCGAGAUCCUAGACAAAGUUGGUCCUGGUGCAAAGCUCUGUGCUUCAGAUAUUGCAGCCCAAUUGCUCACCAAGAACAAAGACGCACCCAUGAUGCUGGAUCGGAUUCUCAGGCUUCUGGCUAGCUACAGCGUUGUUGAAUGCUCACUUGAUGCUUCUGGUGCCCGGAGACUAUAUAGUUUGAAUUCUGUCUCCAAAUACUAUGUGCCUAACAAAGAUGGCGUCUUACUAGGCCCCCUAUUACAAAUGAAUCAGGACAAGGUCCUUCUGGAGAGCUGGUAAUUAAUUAAUUUCUAUUUCUCUCUUUUUCUUAGUAAAUGAUUAGCUAGAGCAUGCAUGCAUGCAUGGAGCAUAUAUAUAGACGAUGCAUGAUAAAUUGGUUUUUCGGAAUUUAUGUAGGUCCCAACUCAAAGAUGCUAUUCUUGAAGGAGGAAUUCCAUUUAAUCGAGCCCAUGGAGUGCAUGUAUUUGAGUACGCAGGAUUGGACCCUAAGUUCAAUAAACAUUUUAACACAGCAAUGUAUAACUAUACCUCUCUGGUUAUGAGCAACAUUCUUGAAUCUUACAAGGGUUUCGACAACAUCAAGCAACUGGUCGAUGUUGGUGGUAGUCUCGGCAUUACUCUUCAAGCCAUCACUACCAAGUACCCCUAUAUUAAGGGCAUCAAUUUCGACCAGCCUCAUGUUAUUGACCAUGCCCCAUCACAUCCACGUAUGAUUAUUAAUCUCAUGUUAUAUAUACGAGUACUUGUCGGGACAUUACACUAUUAUACCAUAUGCGGUAACAAUUUUCUUGCACUUUAUUAAAGUGCAACAACUCUCAUAAAUAUAUAUAUAGUCAUUCGCUAGGGUGGGCACCCUAAUUUUUUUUUUAAUGCAAACACUUUGUUGUACCGUGCGAUUUAAUAGAAUUAAUGAAGAACACCGUUAAAUCGUACGGUUUAAUAGCGUGUCCUCAUUUAAAAAAAAAUAAAGGCACCCACCUUAGAGAAGGACUAUAUAUAUAUAUAUAUAUAUAUGUUUCACUUUGUUAAAUUGAGAAUGCUACUAAUAAAUAAAAAAAACACAAUUUCUAAUGUAUUGAAAUAUGUGUUUUUUUUUAUAUUUUAGUAACAUUCUCAUUUUAAAAAAGUGAAGAUUUCAUUACUAAAGAAGGACUCUCUCUCUCUCUCUCUCUCUCUCUCUCUCACUACACAAAUUUUGUUAAAGUCCGAAAAAUCUAGUAAGUCAUAUGAUUUAAUAGUAUAAUGGACUAUUGAACCAUUUGAAAUUAUGAUUUUUUUUUGGUUUUUAACAAAACCCAAAAUUUUGGAUUAGAUCAUUACUAUCUAUCUAUAUAUAUAUAUAUAAGGCUUCCUUACUUUAUUAAAAUAAAGGAUAAACUAAGGAUAAUACUUGGAAUGUUUGUUUUCUUUUUUCCUUUUUUUUAGAAGAUUCCUUAUUUUGGGGGCAAGUUUAAAAAAGAUACUUUUAGAAAAAAAUUUCUUUCUAAUAGAGUUCGUCCAAGGAUUAAUACUAAAGCUCACGUGUAAUUUUGUUAUUUUAAAAAACUAAUUAAUUCGCGUAGGUGCCAUAUUAUUAGUUCUCAGAAUCUUCUAAUAUUUUUUUCAAUGCUUUAGGAUCACUAUCACAAUCCUUAAAAGCAUCUUCAACCAUUUCAACAGUAUUACCACCAUCAUAAUCCAUAUAUCCACUGUCAUUUUGGCAACCUAUAUUGUCAGGAGAUUUGUUACGGAUAUCUUCCCCAUGCCAAACCCAUGUUUUGUUUUCACGUUUAUUGUUUGAUGUAGGGACUGGCGUGUAGUUAAUUAAUUUUUAGAAUUAUAAAACUGCAUGCAGUUUUAAUAUUAACCAUAUGAUAAACUUUAACCUAAUUGUUAGAAAUUUAUAUGUAAAAUUGUAUUAAAAAAAAUCCCUUGAACCUGCUCUCAUAUAUGCGUGUGUAUAAUUCUUCAGUGGUUUACUAUUGUGAAAUUCUUGUAAAACCCCAAAUUUAUAUUUUAAAAAAUGAGAACAUCUGUUGUGUGUGCCUGUAUAUCAGGAACUUCCAUAACAUUGGCAUAAUUAAGUUUGAGCAAACAGUUCUUGACGUAAUACAUCUUGCUAAUGAAAAUAGAGUGGCAUAAUUCUAAUUGUCUGAUUUCUUAAUUGUAUAAUAUUUUACAGGUAUUGAGCAUGUAGGGGGUGAUAUGUUCCAAAGUGUUCCAAAAGGUGAUGCCAUUAUUAUGAAGGUAAGUUUUUAAUUUAAUUUGCGGACAUAUUAUGAGGAGUUCCUUAAAUUAAAUUUUUACAAACAAUAGUUUGAUUAAUAUGAGAAUUUUUAAAUAGUCGGUACUGCACGAUUGGAAUGAUGAACAUUGCUUGAAGUUGUUGAAGAAUUGCUACAAAAGCAUCCCAGAAGAUGGAAAGGUAAUCGUUGUGGAGUCAAUGCUUCCAGAAGUUCCUAAUACAAGCAUUGAAUCAAAAUCAAAUUCCCAUUUUGACGUGCUUAUGAUGAUUCAAAGUCCCGGUGGAAAGGAGAGAACAAGGCAUGAAUUCAUGACCCUGGCUACUGGCGCUGGUUUUGGUGGGAUCAGUUGUGAACUUGCUAUUGGUAAUCUCUGGGUUAUGGAGUUCUAUAAGUAGAGUGCAUGCCCAUGCAUCCUAGAAAUAAAGCAAAUCUUGUGUUGAUUGUCUUGCGUGUAUCUCUUUCCAAGCAUGCUGAUAUGUCUCCCAAAGACGAGCAAGAACCCAUGCAUUUGACAAACUUCCCAGGUACCUGAUAGCCAUGCUUGAGAGGAGGAGUCUAGGACUUAAUAAUAAGUGCUUUGAAAUAAAUGGGUGCUUGACACGUGGUCUAUCAACUAUUUGUGCAAUAUUGUUACCCAUAUUUCCUAUUAUUUCUAGUAUUUCAUGUGUUACUGUCUAGGGUGUCUUUUGUUGUUCCAAGGGCAGUUACUAGCGUAGAUUGCGUGUUUCCAAUUGGCUCUUAUAAAAAGCCUAAAGCUGUCUGAAUAAAGGAUGCAGAAAAAUUAUUUCAUAAAGCAAUUCGCUUUUUUUAAAUUCUUUUCUUUCCUCUGCUUCUGUAAAUUCAAAUCCUCACAAAUUACAUAUCACAUGCAUUUUUUAUUUUCUAGAAAUAAAAAAAAAUUCUGUUAGACUUGUUUUAGGUAUUAGCCCUGCUUAAUUAUUUUUGGAAAGUAUAGCUUUUAAAUUCCAACACGAAUGUGCUUAAUAAAUACUUACUGCUAUAAUCUAAAAAUUAAGUUUAUUUUAUUUAUACAAUAAAAAGUCAUAAUAACUUUUAAAAUUAUUACAUAUUACCAUACUUUCUCAUUUUUUUUAAUCACAACAUCUCAAUACCAAAUAUAGUGAUAAUUUAUAUUUAAUAAUUAAAUAUUGACUUAUUUUUUUGUCACAGAUGUCUCACCAUAACUUUAUCAUAUUUCUACUAUGUUACUGAUACUCAGUAAAUUCCUUAUACAUGUUUAGCUUUCCUAAUUGGUGUGUUGAUUGUCAAUUAAUUGCUCCUAUAUGCAUUUGAUUAUGUUAUGGUGUGUUGAUUAUCAAUUAAUUGCUCCUAUAUGCAUUUGAUUAUGUUAGAAUUCUCAGUAUAUAGCUUUAAAAUUGAUAUAAUAUGAUAUGUGUUGUACAUCAAGUGCAAAGAAAUUAAUUAACAAGUAAUUGUCGUGAUAAAACUUAUCAUAUAUUCGUUGCAAUGGUUGUUGCCAAGGUCUCCUCGAGCCAACACUAGGGAGUAGAGAUCCCCUGCAGUUGCAAAUUAAAUGUUAUUAUUGAUAAAACAAAAAUAUGUCGCGAUAAAACUUGUCAUAUAUUUGUUGCAAUGGUUGUUGCCAAGAUCUCCUCGAGCCAACACUAGGGAGUAGAGAUCCCUAGCAGUUGCAAAUUAAAUGUUAUUAUUGAUAAAACAAAAAUAUAUUUAUAAAUUAAAUUAUUAGAUCCAAAAUAACCCUACAAAAAAAAAAUUAUGCAAAAGCAAGCAUACUAAAUUUAUUUAUUUUAAAUUUCAUCCCAAAUAAUUAAUAUAACAUGUGAUAUGUCAUUCUGAGACACGCACCGGAUUCGCCCGCGUUUUUGUAUUCCGGGUCCUUAGGUGGGGCCAUAGCUCUUUACUUCACGCUCCGUCCGACGGGCGCGUGGGAUGGUUUUAUGCAAAAGCAAGCAUACUAAAUUUAUUUAUUUUAAAUUUCAUCCCAAAUAAUUAAUAUAACAUGUAAUAUGUCAUUCCGAGACACGCACCCGAUUUGCCCGCGUUUUUGUAUUCCGAGUCCUUAGGUGGGGCCAUAGCUCUUUACUCCACGCUCCGUCAGACGGGCGCGUGGGAUGGUUUGAUUUUGAAUGGGGCCAUGUGCGGGAUUAGCCAGAAAUUCAAGCCUCCGUGGCCCUUCGAGCACCUUCUCUUCACAGUCGUAUGGCUGGUGCCUUCCUGGCGCGUAGGUCCCACCCACGGUUCUCUCCCGAUGGUCUCCUUCAAGGAGGAGUGGAGGAGGAAACUGGUGUUGUCGAGCCCCAGGAGGUCGGUGCCAAGGCCGCGUGCGGCGACCGUGCUGGAGUUGCUGCGCGUGUCGAGGGAUUUGCAAACCGUGCUGGAGUUUUUACGCGUGUCGAGGGAUUUGCAAGGGAUUUGAGUAUAAAAAGUACUCAAUGAGCCCCAAGAGGAAGACGACGUCGUUUGCGAUCCCGCCUGCGUUGAAGAGUUGUAUAAACAUGCAGCCAGUAAGGAUAAGGCGCUGAGGAUUUAUCCAGGCACGUGGCAUCAGCUGAUUGCCGAGCCUGAGCAGAACGUUGAGUUGGUUUCUGGAGAGGUGGUGGAGUGGCUGAGAGAAAGAGCCUCACGCGCUGCCAAGGGCAGUGAUGGUUCGCGCCCUGCCGCUGAGUUAGAUUCUGGCGCCUAAUGAGAUCUGUAGUGGCCGCUGUAGGAAACAACCAAUUAUAGUAUGCCAAGUGCAUGCUUUAUUUGAAACAACUAAUAAAUUAGGAAAGGGAAAAGCUACUUAACCCGACAUUAGCCCCGAAUUCGGGCCCCGAAUUUUGACAAAAACGGUGCGUUUUGCUUUGCUUCAAUACUAUUCCAGCUGUGCAGCACGUGAGCAUUCUGUUUGUCUUUCUAUUUGCGCGUGAACCACAGCUUUCUGCUCAGAAUUUCCAACUUUUUGCUUGAUGCUCUGAUCGAACCUCUAAUUAAUUAAUUUAUUUAUUUAUUAUGAGCUCAGUGCUGCUUUUACUUGCUUGCUCAAGUAAAUAUUUAUCACUUUGCUAUCAAGUGGCAUUCUUAGACAUGCAAAGAAUUAAAUGAUAUAUGAGAUGCUGCCAAUUCUCUUAUAGCUUCUUUCCUCAAUGAGUGCAGCACUCCCCCACAUUAUUCUGUCAGCAUCCUUCAUCGGCAGAACACAGCCGCAUUUGAUGGCAUUCUGUUUGCAAGCUUGCUGAACCAUGGUGGAUGGAAGGUGAUUGACAAAAUGCUGAGACAGGGUAUUGAGUGUUAAAUGAGAGUGGAUGUGAAGUUUUGUUGCUUUAACUUGCGCUGGGGGUAGAUUAAAUAAUUACGGAUUUAGGAUUAUUUGAAUGAACUUGGACGUUGUUUCUUCAGCCAAAGCAUUGGCGUCGGUUUUCAUUGAGCGAAAUUUUCUUUUGCUGGGCUGUAUGCGUGAAUAUGUUGAUUUCAUUCAACUUUAGAAAAUAGUCCUACAAUGUUCAAUUGCGAUGAAGAUUGCAUUCGUAAUACUUAGAUUUUAUGAUCAUGAUUCUUUAUCUUCUUUAGUGAUAGAAAGAAUCAUGAUCAUUGCACGAUACAGAGUCAUCAUACACUAAACUAAAAUACAAGAAAACAUUCAAAUGCUUCAACAAUCUUUCUGGUGGCACAUGCCCCUUUAGCGGGAAAUAUAUCUACAACAUGCAGCCGCAACAAAAGAGAAUGUCAUCAACCGGAUUUGUCCCCAGCAAAAUCAUGCAGCUGAGACAAUUCCAGCACCAGUUACACUUCCACCAGCAACAAUUCAAGCACCAGUAACACAAAAACACAAUCAGCCGCAAGAUAAUUCCAGCACCAGUAACACACAAACACAAUCAGCAGCAAACACAAUGGAGUCUUGAAGGAACAUUUAACGAUACAUGAAAUUAAUUUGUAUUAAUUAAAAAUAAAUUUAUAUGAAAUUAUUUAAAUGUUUAAAAAUAAAUUUAAACUUAUUGAAAUUAUUUAGAGAGAGCAAACUGCCUUGAAGGAAGCCACGAUGGCUUCAGGAUGGUGAAACCAAAAGGAAGCAAAGGUCAAAAUCCUGCUGUACCGUACAUCCGCCUUGGCCGUACAGCAGUAAUAUAACAUGUGAUAUGUCAUUCUGAGACACGCACCGGAUUCGCCCGCGUUUUUGUAUUCCGGGUCCUUAGGUGGGGCCAUAGCUCUUUACUUCACGCUCCGUCCGACGGGCGCGUGGGAUGGUUUUAUGCAAAAGCAAGCAUACUAAAUUUAUUUAUUUUAAAUUUCAUCCCAAAUAAUUAAUAUAACAUGUGAUAUGUCAUUCUGAGACACGCACCGGAUUUGCCCGCGUUUUUGUAUUCCGAGUCCUUAGGUGGGGCCAUAGCUCUUUACUUCACGCUCCGUCCGACGGGCGCGUGGGAUGGUUUUAUGCAAAAGCAAGCAUACUAAAUUUAUUUAUUUUAAAUUUCAUCCCAAAUAAUUAAUAUAACAUGUGAUAUGUCAUUCUGAGACACGCACCGGAUUUGCCCGCGUUUUUGUAUUCCGAGUCCUUAGGUGGGGCCAUAGCUCUUUACUUCACGCUCCGUCCGACGGGCGCGUGGGAUGGUUUUAUGCAAAAGCAAGCAUACUAAAUUUAUUUAUUUUAAAUUUCAUCCCAAAUAAUUAAUAUAACAUGUGAUAUGUCAUUCUGAGACACGCACCGGAUUUGCCCGCGUUUUUGUAUUCCGAGUCCUUAGGUGGGGCCAUAGCUCUUUACUUCACGCUCCGUCCGACGGGCGCGUGGGAUGGUUUUAUGCAAAAGCAAGCAUACUAAAUUUAUUUAUUUUAAAUUUCAUCCCAAAUAAUUAAUAUAACAUGUGAUAUGUCAUUCUGAGACACGCACCGGAUUCGCCCGCGUUUUUGUAUUCCGGGUCCUUAGGUGGGGCCAUAGCUCUUUACUUCACGCUCCGUCCGACGGGCGCGUGGGAUGGUUUUAUGCAAAAGCAAGCAUACUAAAUUUAUUUAUUUUAAAUUUCAUCCCAAAUAAUUAAUAUAACAUGUGAUAUGUCAUUCUGAGACACGCACCGGAUUUGCCCGCGUUUUUGUAUUCCGAGUCCUUAGGUGGGGCCAUAGCUCUUUACUUCACGCUCCGUCCGACGGGCGCGUGGGAUGGUUUUAUGCAAAAGCAAGCAUACUAAAUUUAUUUAUUUUAAAUUUCAUCCCAAAUAAUUAAUAUAACAUGUGAUAUGUCAUUCUGAGACACGCACCGGAUUUGCCCGCGUUUUUGUAUUCCGAGUCCUUAGGUGGGGCCAUAGCUCUUUACUUCACGCUCCGUCCGACGGGCGCGUGGGAUGGUUUUAUGCAAAAGCAAGCAUACUAAAUUUAUUUAUUUUAAAUUUCAUCCCAAAUAAUUAAUAUAACAUGUGAUAUGUCAUUCUGAGACACGCACCGGAUUUGCCCGCGUUUUUGUAUUCCGAGUCCUUAGGUGGGGCCAUAGCUCUUUACUUCACGCUCCGUCCGACGGGCGCGUGGGAUGGUUUUAUGCAAAAGCAAGCAUACUAAAUUUAUUUAUUUUAAAUUUCAUCCCAAAUAAUUAAUAUAACAUGUGAUAUGUCAUUCUGAGACACGCACCGGAUUCGCCCGCGUUUUUGUAUUCCGGGUCCUUAGGUGGGGCCAUAGCUCUUUACUUCACGCUCCGUCCGACGGGCGCGUGGGAUGGUUUUAUGCAAAAGCAAGCAUACUAAAUUUAUUUAUUUUAAAUUUCAUCCCAAAUAAUUAAUAUAACAUGUGAUAUGUCAUUCUGAGACACGCACCGGAUUUGCCCGCGUUUUUGUAUUCCGAGUCCUUAGGUGGGGCCAUAGCUCUUUACUUCACGCUCCGUCCGACGGGCGCGUGGGAUGGUUUUAUGCAAAAGCAAGCAUACUAAAUUUAUUUAUUUUAAAUUUCAUCCCAAAUAAUUAAUAUAACAUGUGAUAUGUCAUUCUGAGACACGCACCGGAUUUGCCCGCGUUUUUGUAUUCCGAGUCCUUAGGUGGGGCCAUAGCUCUUUACUUCACGCUCCGUCCGACGGGCGCGUGGGAUGGUUUUAUGCAAAAGCAAGCAUACUAAAUUUAUUUAUUUUAAAUUUCAUCCCAAAUAAUUAAUAUAACAUGUGAUAUGUCAUUCUGAGACACGCACCGGAUUUGCCCGCGUUUUUGUAUUCCGAGUCCUUAGGUGGGGCCAUAGCUCUUUACUUCACGCUCCGUCCGACGGGCGCGUGGGAUGGUUUUAUGCAAAAGCAAGCAUACUAAAUUUAUUUAUUUUAAAUUUCAUCCCAAAUAAUUAAUAUAACAUGUGAUAUGUCAUUCUGAGACACGCACCGGAUUCGCCCGCGUUUUUGUAUUCCGGGUCCUUAGGUGGGGCCAUAGCUCUUUACUUCACGCUCCGUCCGACGGGCGCGUGGGAUGGUUUUAUGCAAAAGCAAGCAUACUAAAUUUAUUUAUUUUAAAUUUCAUCCCAAAUAAUUAAUAUAACAUGUGAUAUGUCAUUCUGAGACACGCACCGGAUUUGCCCGCGUUUUUGUAUUCCGAGUCCUUAGGUGGGGCCAUAGCUCUUUACUUCACGCUCCGUCCGACGGGCGCGUGGGAUGGUUUUAUGCAAAAGCAAGCAUACUAAAUUUAUUUAUUUUAAAUUUCAUCCCAAAUAAUUAAUAUAACAUGUGAUAUGUCAUUCUGAGACACGCACCGGAUUUGCCCGCGUUUUUGUAUUCCGAGUCCUUAGGUGGGGCCAUAGCUCUUUACUUCACGCUCCGUCCGACGGGCGCGUGGGAUGGUUUUAUGCAAAAGCAAGCAUACUAAAUUUAUUUAUUUUAAAUUUCAUCCCAAAUAAUUAAUAUAACAUGUGAUAUGUCAUUCUGAGACACGCACCGGAUUUGCCCGCGUUUUUGUAUUCCGAGUCCUUAGGUGGGGCCAUAGCUCUUUACUUCACGCUCCGUCCGACGGGCGCGUGGGAUGGUUUUAUGCAAAAGCAAGCAUACUAAAUUUAUUUAUUUUAAAUUUCAUCCCAAAUAAUUAAUAUAACAUGUGAUAUGUCAUUCUGAGACACGCACCGGAUUCGCCCGCGUUUUUGUAUUCCGGGUCCUUAGGUGGGGCCAUAGCUCUUUACUUCACGCUCCGUCCGACGGGCGCGUGGGAUGGUUUUAUGCAAAAGCAAGCAUACUAAAUUUAUUUAUUUUAAAUUUCAUCCCAAAUAAUUAAUAUAACAUGUGAUAUGUCAUUCUGAGACACGCACCGGAUUUGCCCGCGUUUUUGUAUUCCGAGUCCUUAGGUGGGGCCAUAGCUCUUUACUUCACGCUCCGUCCGACGGGCGCGUGGGAUGGUUUUAUGCAAAAGCAAGCAUACUAAAUUUAUUUAUUUUAAAUUUCAUCCCAAAUAAUUAAUAUAACAUGUGAUAUGUCAUUCUGAGACACGCACCGGAUUUGCCCGCGUUUUUGUAUUCCGAGUCCUUAGGUGGGGCCAUAGCUCUUUACUUCACGCUCCGUCCGACGGGCGCGUGGGAUGGUUUUAUGCAAAAGCAAGCAUACUAAAUUUAUUUAUUUUAAAUUUCAUCCCAAAUAAUUAAUAUAACAUGUGAUAUGUCAUUCUGAGACACGCACCGGAUUUGCCCGCGUUUUUGUAUUCCGAGUCCUUAGGUGGGGCCAUAGCUCUUUACUUCACGCUCCGUCCGACGGGCGCGUGGGAUGGUUUUAUGCAAAAGCAAGCAUACUAAAUUUAUUUAUUUUAAAUUUCAUCCCAAAUAAUUAAUAUAACAUGUGAUAUGUCAUUCUGAGACACGCACCGGAUUCGCCCGCGUUUUUGUAUUCCGGGUCCUUAGGUGGGGCCAUAGCUCUUUACUUCACGCUCCGUCCGACGGGCGCGUGGGAUGGUUUUAUGCAAAAGCAAGCAUACUAAAUUUAUUUAUUUUAAAUUUCAUCCCAAAUAAUUAAUAUAACAUGUGAUAUGUCAUUCUGAGACACGCACCGGAUUUGCCCGCGUUUUUGUAUUCCGAGUCCUUAGGUGGGGCCAUAGCUCUUUACUUCACGCUCCGUCCGACGGGCGCGUGGGAUGGUUUUAUGCAAAAGCAAGCAUACUAAAUUUAUUUAUUUUAAAUUUCAUCCCAAAUAAUUAAUAUAACAUGUGAUAUGUCAUUCUGAGACACGCACCGGAUUUGCCCGCGUUUUUGUAUUCCGAGUCCUUAGGUGGGGCCAUAGCUCUUUACUUCACGCUCCGUCCGACGGGCGCGUGGGAUGGUUUUAUGCAAAAGCAAGCAUACUAAAUUUAUUUAUUUUAAAUUUCAUCCCAAAUAAUUAAUAUAACAUGUGAUAUGUCAUUCUGAGACACGCACCGGAUUUGCCCGCGUUUUUGUAUUCCGAGUCCUUAGGUGGGGCCAUAGCUCUUUACUUCACGCUCCGUCCGACGGGCGCGUGGGAUGGUUUUAUGCAAAAGCAAGCAUACUAAAUUUAUUUAUUUUAAAUUUCAUCCCAAAUAAUUAAUAUAACAUGUGAUAUGUCAUUCUGAGACACGCACCGGAUUCGCCCGCGUUUUUGUAUUCCGGGUCCUUAGGUGGGGCCAUAGCUCUUUACUUCACGCUCCGUCCGACGGGCGCGUGGGAUGGUUUUAUGCAAAAGCAAGCAUACUAAAUUUAUUUAUUUUAAAUUUCAUCCCAAAUAAUUAAUAUAACAUGUGAUAUGUCAUUCUGAGACACGCACCGGAUUUGCCCGCGUUUUUGUAUUCCGAGUCCUUAGGUGGGGCCAUAGCUCUUUACUUCACGCUCCGUCCGACGGGCGCGUGGGAUGGUUUUAUGCAAAAGCAAGCAUACUAAAUUUAUUUAUUUUAAAUUUCAUCCCAAAUAAUUAAUAUAACAUGUGAUAUGUCAUUCUGAGACACGCACCGGAUUUGCCCGCGUUUUUGUAUUCCGAGUCCUUAGGUGGGGCCAUAGCUCUUUACUUCACGCUCCGUCCGACGGGCGCGUGGGAUGGUUUUAUGCAAAAGCAAGCAUACUAAAUUUAUUUAUUUUAAAUUUCAUCCCAAAUAAUUAAUAUAACAUGUGAUAUGUCAUUCUGAGACACGCACCGGAUUUGCCCGCGUUUUUGUAUUCCGAGUCCUUAGGUGGGGCCAUAGCUCUUUACUUCACGCUCCGUCCGACGGGCGCGUGGGAUGGUUUUAUGCAAAAGCAAGCAUACUAAAUUUAUUUAUUUUAAAUUUCAUCCCAAAUAAUUAAUAUAACAUGUGAUAUGUCAUUCUGAGACACGCACCGGAUUCGCCCGCGUUUUUGUAUUCCGGGUCCUUAGGUGGGGCCAUAGCUCUUUACUUCACGCUCCGUCCGACGGGCGCGUGGGAUGGUUUUAUGCAAAAGCAAGCAUACUAAAUUUAUUUAUUUUAAAUUUCAUCCCAAAUAAUUAAUAUAACAUGUGAUAUGUCAUUCUGAGACACGCACCGGAUUUGCCCGCGUUUUUGUAUUCCGAGUCCUUAGGUGGGGCCAUAGCUCUUUACUUCACGCUCCGUCCGACGGGCGCGUGGGAUGGUUUUAUGCAAAAGCAAGCAUACUAAAUUUAUUUAUUUUAAAUUUCAUCCCAAAUAAUUAAUAUAACAUGUGAUAUGUCAUUCUGAGACACGCACCGGAUUUGCCCGCGUUUUUGUAUUCCGAGUCCUUAGGUGGGGCCAUAGCUCUUUACUUCACGCUCCGUCCGACGGGCGCGUGGGAUGGUUUUAUGCAAAAGCAAGCAUACUAAAUUUAUUUAUUUUAAAUUUCAUCCCAAAUAAUUAAUAUAACAUGUGAUAUGUCAUUCUGAGACACGCACCGGAUUUGCCCGCGUUUUUGUAUUCCGAGUCCUUAGGUGGGGCCAUAGCUCUUUACUUCACGCUCCGUCCGACGGGCGCGUGGGAUGGUUUUAUGCAAAAGCAAGCAUACUAAAUUUAUUUAUUUUAAAUUUCAUCCCAAAUAAUUAAUAUAACAUGUGAUAUGUCAUUCUGAGACACGCACCGGAUUCGCCCGCGUUUUUGUAUUCCGGGUCCUUAGGUGGGGCCAUAGCUCUUUACUUCACGCUCCGUCCGACGGGCGCGUGGGAUGGUUUUAUGCAAAAGCAAGCAUACUAAAUUUAUUUAUUUUAAAUUUCAUCCCAAAUAAUUAAUAUAACAUGUGAUAUGUCAUUCUGAGACACGCACCGGAUUUGCCCGCGUUUUUGUAUUCCGAGUCCUUAGGUGGGGCCAUAGCUCUUUACUUCACGCUCCGUCCGACGGGCGCGUGGGAUGGUUUUAUGCAAAAGCAAGCAUACUAAAUUUAUUUAUUUUAAAUUUCAUCCCAAAUAAUUAAUAUAACAUGUGAUAUGUCAUUCUGAGACACGCACCGGAUUUGCCCGCGUUUUUGUAUUCCGAGUCCUUAGGUGGGGCCAUAGCUCUUUACUUCACGCUCCGUCCGACGGGCGCGUGGGAUGGUUUUAUGCAAAAGCAAGCAUACUAAAUUUAUUUAUUUUAAAUUUCAUCCCAAAUAAUUAAUAUAACAUGUGAUAUGUCAUUCUGAGACACGCACCGGAUUUGCCCGCGUUUUUGUAUUCCGAGUCCUUAGGUGGGGCCAUAGCUCUUUACUUCACGCUCCGUCCGACGGGCGCGUGGGAUGGUUUUAUGCAAAAGCAAGCAUACUAAAUUUAUUUAUUUUAAAUUUCAUCCCAAAUAAUUAAUAUAACAUGUGAUAUGUCAUUCUGAGACACGCACCGGAUUCGCCCGCGUUUUUGUAUUCCGGGUCCUUAGGUGGGGCCAUAGCUCUUUACUUCACGCUCCGUCCGACGGGCGCGUGGGAUGGUUUUAUGCAAAAGCAAGCAUACUAAAUUUAUUUAUUUUAAAUUUCAUCCCAAAUAAUUAAUAUAACAUGUGAUAUGUCAUUCUGAGACACGCACCGGAUUUGCCCGCGUUUUUGUAUUCCGAGUCCUUAGGUGGGGCCAUAGCUCUUUACUUCACGCUCCGUCCGACGGGCGCGUGGGAUGGUUUUAUGCAAAAGCAAGCAUACUAAAUUUAUUUAUUUUAAAUUUCAUCCCAAAUAAUUAAUAUAACAUGUGAUAUGUCAUUCUGAGACACGCACCGGAUUUGCCCGCGUUUUUGUAUUCCGAGUCCUUAGGUGGGGCCAUAGCUCUUUACUUCACGCUCCGUCCGACGGGCGCGUGGGAUGGUUUUAUGCAAAAGCAAGCAUACUAAAUUUAUUUAUUUUAAAUUUCAUCCCAAAUAAUUAAUAUAACAUGUGAUAUGUCAUUCUGAGACACGCACCGGAUUUGCCCGCGUUUUUGUAUUCCGAGUCCUUAGGUGGGGCCAUAGCUCUUUACUUCACGCUCCGUCCGACGGGCGCGUGGGAUGGUUUUAUGCAAAAGCAAGCAUACUAAAUUUAUUUAUUUUAAAUUUCAUCCCAAAUAAUUAAUAUAACAUGUGAUAUGUCAUUCUGAGACACGCACCGGAUUCGCCCGCGUUUUUGUAUUCCGGGUCCUUAGGUGGGGCCAUAGCUCUUUACUUCACGCUCCGUCCGACGGGCGCGUGGGAUGGUUUUAUGCAAAAGCAAGCAUACUAAAUUUAUUUAUUUUAAAUUUCAUCCCAAAUAAUUAAUAUAACAUGUGAUAUGUCAUUCUGAGACACGCACCGGAUUUGCCCGCGUUUUUGUAUUCCGAGUCCUUAGGUGGGGCCAUAGCUCUUUACUUCACGCUCCGUCCGACGGGCGCGUGGGAUGGUUUUAUGCAAAAGCAAGCAUACUAAAUUUAUUUAUUUUAAAUUUCAUCCCAAAUAAUUAAUAUAACAUGUGAUAUGUCAUUCUGAGACACGCACCGGAUUUGCCCGCGUUUUUGUAUUCCGAGUCCUUAGGUGGGGCCAUAGCUCUUUACUUCACGCUCCGUCCGACGGGCGCGUGGGAUGGUUUUAUGCAAAAGCAAGCAUACUAAAUUUAUUUAUUUUAAAUUUCAUCCCAAAUAAUUAAUAUAACAUGUGAUAUGUCAUUCUGAGACACGCACCGGAUUUGCCCGCGUUUUUGUAUUCCGAGUCCUUAGGUGGGGCCAUAGCUCUUUACUUCACGCUCCGUCCGACGGGCGCGUGGGAUGGUUUUAUGCAAAAGCAAGCAUACUAAAUUUAUUUAUUUUAAAUUUCAUCCCAAAUAAUUAAUAUAACAUGUGAUAUGUCAUUCUGAGACACGCACCGGAUUCGCCCGCGUUUUUGUAUUCCGGGUCCUUAGGUGGGGCCAUAGCUCUUUACUUCACGCUCCGUCCGACGGGCGCGUGGGAUGGUUUUAUGCAAAAGCAAGCAUACUAAAUUUAUUUAUUUUAAAUUUCAUCCCAAAUAAUUAAUAUAACAUGUGAUAUGUCAUUCUGAGACACGCACCGGAUUUGCCCGCGUUUUUGUAUUCCGAGUCCUUAGGUGGGGCCAUAGCUCUUUACUUCACGCUCCGUCCGACGGGCGCGUGGGAUGGUUUUAUGCAAAAGCAAGCAUACUAAAUUUAUUUAUUUUAAAUUUCAUCCCAAAUAAUUAAUAUAACAUGUGAUAUGUCAUUCUGAGACACGCACCGGAUUUGCCCGCGUUUUUGUAUUCCGAGUCCUUAGGUGGGGCCAUAGCUCUUUACUUCACGCUCCGUCCGACGGGCGCGUGGGAUGGUUUUAUGCAAAAGCAAGCAUACUAAAUUUAUUUAUUUUAAAUUUCAUCCCAAAUAAUUAAUAUAACAUGUGAUAUGUCAUUCUGAGACACGCACCGGAUUUGCCCGCGUUUUUGUAUUCCGAGUCCUUAGGUGGGGCCAUAGCUCUUUACUUCACGCUCCGUCCGACGGGCGCGUGGGAUGGUUUUAUGCAAAAGCAAGCAUACUAAAUUUAUUUAUUUUAAAUUUCAUCCCAAAUAAUUAAUAUAACAUGUGAUAUGUCAUUCUGAGACACGCACCGGAUUCGCCCGCGUUUUUGUAUUCCGGGUCCUUAGGUGGGGCCAUAGCUCUUUACUUCACGCUCCGUCCGACGGGCGCGUGGGAUGGUUUGAUUUUGAAUGGGGCCAUGUGUGGGAUUAGCCAGAAAUUCAAGCCUCCGUGGCCCUUCGAGCACCUUCUCUUCACAGUCGUAUGGCUGGUGCCUUCCUGGCGCGUAGGUCCCACCCACGGUUCUCUCCCGAUGGUCUCCUUCAAGGAGGAGUGGAAGAGGAAGCUGGCGUUGUCGAGCCCCAGGAGGUCGGUGCCAAGGCCGCGUGCGGCGACCGUGCUGGAGUUGCUGCGCGUGUCGAGGGAUUUGCAAGGGAUUUGAGUAUAAAAAAUACUCAAUGAGCCCCAAGAGGAAGACGACGUCGUUUGCGAUCCCGCCUGCGUUGAAGAGUUGUAUAAACAUGCAGCCAGUAAGGAUAAGACGCUGAGGAUUUAUCCAGGCACGUGGCAUCAGCUGAUUGCCGAGCCUGAGCAGAACGUUGAGUUGGUUUCUGGAGAGGUGGUGGAGUGGCUAAGAGAAAGAGCCUCACGCGCUACCAAGGGCAGUGAUGGUUCGCGCCCUGCCGCUGAGUUAGAUUCUGGCGCUUAAUGAGAUCUGUAGUGGCUGCUGUAGGAAACAACCAAGGGAAAAGCUACUUACCCCGACAUCAGCCCUGAAUUCGGGCCCCGAAUUUUGGCAAAACCGGUGCGUUUUGCUUUGCUUCAAUACUAUUCCAGCUGUGCAGCACGUGAGCAUUCUGUUUGUCUUUCUAUUUGCGCGUGAACCACAGCUUUCUGCUCAGAAUUUCCAACUUUUUGCUUGAUGCUCUGAUCGAACCUCUAAUUAAUUAAUUUAUUUAUUUAUUAUGAGCUCAGUGCUGCUUUUACUUGCUUGCUCAAGUAAAUAUUUAUCACUUUGCUAUCAAGUGGCAUUCUUAGACAUGCAAAGAAUUAAAUGAUAUAUGAGAUGCUGCCAAUUCUCUUAUAGCUUCUUUCCUCAAUGAGUGCAGCACUCCCCCACAUUAUUCUGUCAGCAUCCUUCAUCGGCAGAACACAGCCGCAUUUGAUGGCAUUCUGUUUGCAAGCUUGCUGAACCAUGGUGGAUGGAAGGUGAUUGACAAAAUGCUGAGACAGGGUAUUGAGUGUUAAAUGAGAGUGGAUGUGAAGUUUUGUUGCUUUAACUUGCGCUGGGGGUAGAUUAAAUAAUUGCGGAUUUAGGAUUAUUUGAAUGAACUUGGACGUUGUUUCUUCAGCCAAAGCAUUGGCGUCGGUUUUCAUUGAGCGAAAUUUUCUUUUGCUGGGCUGUAUGCGUGAAUAUGUUGAUUUCAUUCAACUUUAGAAAAUAGUCCUACAAUGUUCAAUUGCGAUGAAGAUUGCAUUCGUAAUACUUAGAUUUUAUGAUCAUGAUUCUUUAUCUUCUUUAGUGAUAGAAAGAAUCAUGAUCAUUGCACGAUACAGAGUCAUCAUACACUAAACUAAAAUACAAGAAAACAUUCAAAUGCUUCAACAAUCUUUCUGGUGGCACAUGCCCCUUUAGCGGGAAAUAUAUCUACAACAUGCAGCCGCAACAAAAGAGAAUGUCAUCAACCGGAUUUGGCCCCAGCAAAAUCAUGCAGCUGAGACAAUUCCAGCACCAGUUACACUUCCACCAGCAACAAUUCAAGCACCAGUAACACAAAAACACAAUCAGCCGCAAGAUAAUUCCAGCACCAGUAACACACAAACACAAUCAGCAGCAAACACAAUGGAGUCUUGAAGGAACAUUUAACGAUACAUGAAAUUAAUUUGUAUUAAUUAAAAAUAAAUUUAUAUGAAAUUAUUUAAAUGUUUAAAAAUAAAUUUAAACUUAUUGAAAUUAUUUAGAGAGAGCAAACUGCCUUGAAGGAAGCCACGAUGGCUUCAGGAUGGUGAAACCAAAAGGAAGCAAAGGUCAAAAUCGGUAGUGAGGGGCUUAGAGAGCUCGGUCUUGAAGAAAGCAAGAGCAGCAGAGAGCUCCCUCUUGAAGGAAGCAGCAGCGGCAGAGAGCUCGGUCUUGAAGGAAGCAGCAGCGGCAGUGACCACAAGAUGAUAGGAUUAAACGAAAAGGAAGCAAAGGUCCGUUUCUGUGGUUUGGCAAAAGAAAGGAAAGGAAGAAACAUGGGUUAAACGCACCGUUUUCAAUUUUAUCAAAACGGUGCGUUUUAAAAUUCGGGGCGUGUUUCGAGGUUAAAAUCGGGGUGAAUAGCAGCGCUCAUAAAUUAAUGCUGGGCACGUUCGUUGGCAAUGUUAAUUACACCUUUUUAAUGUUCCUUUGCUCCUUCAUCAAACCAUACAUAUUAUCUGUAAUUUUCCUUUCAAAUUAAUUGAGGAGGACAUCUUAACCGUCUAUAUUGGCUUGAGCGUUACCAACAAAGUGUUGGCUCCACUGGCAAUAGAGUCACCCUUAGGUGGUUUAAUUGAGUUUGCUCCCCAGUUCAAGUCGCAGGAAAGUCGCCUUUGUUGGGAGAACUUGUGUCUCUCGGUUCAAGUGGGGACUUCUAGUCUGGGUUAUGGUACGGAUUUAAAGGUGCCUCCCAUAGUUGGGGCCCUCCCCGGGAUACCUCGUGGUUAAGACCAAAAAAAAAAAUAUUGACUUGAGUGUUGAACGUUUAGAACUUUUCGGGCUCUCGAAGGAAACGAAGGACAAACCAGUCAUUUCAAGUAAUAAAGGUCUCAUAACCUUCAAAUUUACAACAAAUCCUAUUGAUUGAAUGUUAAAAAAUUCUAUUAAAAAAAGGUAAAAAAUUAACGUGAGUUCCCUAAAAUUGUCAAUUCCUUGUUAUCUUUGCAUAUACGCUAAUAUGCAUUAGUAUUUAAAUGAAAUAUAGGAAUAACUCUGGUCACAUCUUCAACGUAUGUGUAACAAGUAACAAGUUAGAACAAGUCAAUUAGAUCUCCAAUUUUCAAGGAAACAUAAAAACAGGAGAUCUCAUUCACAUUUCUAUUGCUUCAUAGCCUUCAUUUUCAAUAGAUGAACCAAACAAAAAGAAAAAAAAAAUGGAUGGUCUUUUUGGAUUGCUAGAAGGCACACUAAGAAUUUCUUUAACAGAUGCAACAAUGACGUGGAUUGUGCACUACGCAAUGGACAGAGCACACGGCAAAGUAAAGUCCAAAGAUGGCGUCAUUCAGCGCUUUAAUGAGAUAUCGAAAUUCUAUGAACUUGCAGUAAUUCAGCUAGAAGGGUGCAUGAAAUUUGUCCAGGAGGAUGCAGACAACAACAUGUUUGAAAGCUG
rnacentral:lncRNA from 1 species